CUUGAAGUGGUGAUUUAUUUUCUUAUACUAACGGAGCUUACGAGUUUUCUGUUAAGUUUUGUGUUGUGAAGUUUUCAUGUUUUGGGUAAGGAUUCGAUGGACUAUGGAAUAAUGAGUGGCAAGAGCCUAAGCUUGGGGAUUACCAAGGCACCCCAAGGUAAUAUUCAAGGACAACCAAGAUCCUAAGCUUGGGGAUGCCCCGGAAGGCAUCCCCUCUUUCGUCUUCGUUCAUUGGUAACUUUACUUGGAGCUAUAUUUUUAUUUACCACAUGAUAUGUGUUUUGCUUGGAGCGUCAAUUUAUUUUGUUAGGAUUUGCUUGCUGUUAUUUAGAACAAUUAUUUGCAUAUUUUGUUUCAAUAAAAGUGGCAUUGAUAGCCUUUACUAUGCCUAUUUUAGAAGUCCACAUGUUGCUGUUUGAAAACAGAAAGUUUACCGCUGUUGCAAUAAUUCCCUAGAAAAGUCAGAAUGUGAUAAAAUAUUGAAACCUUUUGCAUAUUAAGCUCUGAUAAAUUUAUUACAUUGGGAAUUUUCUUUCAUAAUUUUUGGAGCUAGGGAAGUAUGGAUGUUGCUGCAUUCUUUAUAGACUAUCCUGUUUAGGGAGAUUGCUGUUAUGUUUGCCUUGUUUGCAUAUGUUUUCUUCUUUAAUGAUUCUAUUUGAGGAUAGGACUAUUAAAUAUACAGAGGCAUUUAGUAUGAAAUGUUGAAUAAUAAUUUUAGUGAUUUGCUACAGUACAGUAUGAUAAGGUUCUGGCAAUGGUUUAUACUAACUUAUCUCACGAGUCCUUGUUGAGUUUUGUGUGGAUGAAGCUUUUGAGAUUUAGGGAGACCGCGAUAUGAGAGGAAUUAAGGAGACACAAAAGCUCAAGCUUGGGGAUGCCCAAGGCAUGCCAAGAUAAUAUUUCAAGAAGUCUCAAGCGUCUAAGCUUGGGGAUGCCCCGGUUGGCAUCCCAUCUUUCUUCUUCAACAACUAUCGGUUAGUAUCGCUUGAUCCUAAGUUUUUGCUUCUUCACAUGAUGUUUGCUAUUCUUAGAUGUCAUUUUAUUUUGCUUUGCUUGCUGUUUGAAUAGAUUACCAAGAUCUGAAAUUAUUAAAUGUUAGAGAGUCUUCACAUAGUUGCAUGAUUAUUUGACUACUCAUUGAUCUUCACUUAUAUCUUUCGGAGUAGUUUGUCAUUUGAUCUAGUGCUUCACUUAUAUCUUUUAGAGCAUGGUGGUAGUUUUAUUUUGAAGAAAUAGAUGAACUCUCAUGCUUCACUUAGAUUAUUUUGAGAGUCUUAAUAGCAUGGUAAUUUGCUUAAAACCCUAAUAUGCUCGGUAUUCAAGAAUAAUAAAACUUUCUUGUGAGUGUGUUGAGAUAUGGGGGUUUGAUGAAUACUAAGAGAAGUUUGAUGCUUGAUGAUUGUUUUGAGAUAUGGGGGUAAUAAUAUCAAAGUCGUGCUAGUUGAGUAGUUGUGAAAUUGAUAAAUGCUUGUGUUGAAGUUUGCAAGUCCCGUAGCAUGCACCUAUUGUAAACGUUGUGUAACAAAUUUGAAACAUGAGGUGUUAUUUGAUUGUCCUCCUCAUGAGUGGCGGUCGGGAACGAGCGAUGGUCUUUUCCUACCAAUCUAUCCCCCUAGGAGCAUGAGCAUAGUGCCGAGGUUUUUGAUGACUUGUAGAUUUUUGCAAUAAGUAUGUGAGUUCCUUAUGACUAAUGUAGAGACCAUGGAUUAUACGCACUCUCACCCUUCCAUCAUUGCUAGCCUCUUCGGUACCGUGCAUUGCCCUUUCUCACAUUGAGAGUUGGUGCAAACUUCGUUGGUGCAUCCAAACCCCGUGAUAUGAUACACUCUUUCACACAUAAACCUCCUUAUAUCUUCCUCAAAACAGCCACCAUACCUACCUAUUAUGGCAUUUACAUAGCCAUUCCGAGAUAUAUUGCCAUGCAACUUUCCAUCGUUCCGUUUAUCAUGACACAUUCAUCAUUGUCAUAUUGCUUAGCAUGAUCAUGUAGUUGACAUAGUAUUUGUGGCAAAGCCACAGUUCAUAAUUCUUUCAUACAUGUCACUCUUGGUUCAUUGCAUAUCCCGGUACAGCACCGGAGGCAUUCAUAUAGAGUCAUCUUUGUUCUAGUAUCGAGUUGUAAUCAUUGAGUUGUAAAUAAAUAGAAGUGUGAUGAUCAUCAUUAUUAGAGCAUUGUCCCAAGUGAGGAUNNNNNNNNNNNNNNNNNNNNNNNNNNNNNNNNNNNNNNNNNNNNNNNNNNNNNNNNNNNNNNNNNNNNNNNNNNNNNNNNNNNNNNNNNNNNNNNNNNNNNNNNNNNNNNNNNNNNNNNNNNNNNNNNNNNNNNNNNNNNNNNNNNNNNNNNNNNNNNNNNNNNNNNNNNNNNNNNNNNNNNNNNNNNNNNNNNNNNNNNNNNNNNNNNNNNNNNNNNNNNNNNNNNNNNNNNNNNNNNNNNNNNNNNNNNNNNNNNNNNNNNNNNNNNNNNNNNNNNNNNNNNNNNNNNNNNNNNNNNNNNNNNNNNNNNNNNNCAUAAAAAAGAGAAGGCCCAAAAAAUGAGAGAAAAAAGAGAGAAGGGACAAUGUUACUAUCCUUUUACCACACUUGUGCUUCAAAGUAGCACCAUGAUUUUCAUAGUAGAGAGUCUCUCAUGUUAUCACUUUCAUAUACUAGUGGGAAUUUUUCAUUAUAGAACUUGGCUCGUAUAUUCCAACAAUGGGCUUCCUCAAAUGCCCUAGGUCUUCGUGAGAAAGCAAGUUGGAUGCACACCCACUAGUUUCUUUUGUUGAGAUUUCAUACAUUUAUAGCUCUAGUGCAUCCGUUGCAUGGCAAUCCCUACUCCUUGCAUUAACAUCAAUCGGUGGGCAUCUCCAUAGCCCAUUGAUUAGCCUCGUUGAUGUGAGACUUUCUCCUUUUUGUCUUCUCCACAUAACUCUCCUCAUUAUAUUCUAUUCCACCCAUAGUGCUAUAUCCAUGGCUCGCGCUCAUGUAUUGCGUGAAACUUUAUAGGUUUGAGAUUACUAAAGUAUGAAACAAUUGCUUGGCUUGUCAUCGGGGUUGUGCAUGAUGAGAGCAUUCUUGUGUGACGAAAAUGAAACAUGACUAAACUAUAUGAUUUUGUAGGGAUGAACUUUCUUUGGCCAUGUUAUUUUGAGAAGACAUAAUUGCUUAGUUAGUAUGCUUGAAGUAUUAUCAUUUUUAUGUCAAUAUGAACUUUUGUCUUCAAUCUUUCGCAUCUGAAUAUUCAUACCACAAUUAAGAAGAAUCACAUUGAAAUUAUGCCAAGUAGCACUCCGCAUAAAAAAUUCUGUUUUUGUCAUUUACCUACUCAAGGACGAGCAGGAAUUAAGCUUGGGGAUGCUGAUACAUCUCCAACGUAUCUAUAAUUUUUGAUUGCUCCAUGCUAUAUUAUUUACUGUUUUGAGUGUUUAUGGGCUUUAUUAUAUACUUUUAUAUCAUUUUUGGGACUAACCUAUUAACCCAAAGCCCAGUGCAAGUUUCUGUUUUUACCCUGUUUUAGGGUUUCGAAGAAAAGGAAAACCAAAUGGAGUCCAAUUGACCUGAAACUUCACGCAACUCAUUUUUGGAAGGAAAGAAGCCCAGAAGAUUUGGAGUGCACGUCGGGGGAUCUGCGAGGAGGUCACGAGGCAGGGGGCGCGCCCACCCCCCCUGGGCGCGCCCUCCACCCUUGUGAGCCCCUCGUGGCCCCCCUGACGUACUUCUUUCACCUAUAUAUCUCCAUAUACCCUAAAAACACCCAUGGUGACAAUAGAUCGGGAGUUCUGCCGCCAGAAGCCUCCGUAGCCACCGAAAGCCAAUCUAGACCCGUUCCGGCACCCUGCCGGAGGGGGCAAUCUCUCUCCGGUGGUCAUCUUCAUCAUCCCGAUGCUCUCCAUGACGAGGAGGGAAUAGUUCUCCCUCAGGGCUGAGGGUAUGUACCAGUAGCUAUGUGUUUGAUCUCUCUCUCUCUCUCGUAUUCUUGAGGUGAUACGAUCUUGAUGUAUCGCGAGGUUUGCUACUAUAUUUGGAUCCUAUGAUAUUUCUUCCCCCCUCUACUCUCUUUUAAUGAAUUGAGUUUCCCCUUUGGAGUUAUCUUAUCGGAUUGAGUCUUUAAAGAUUUCAGAACACUUGAUGUAUGUCCUGCCGUGGAUAUCUAUGGUGACAAUGGGAUAUCACGUGAUUCACUUGAUGUAUGUUUUGGUGACCAACUUGCGGGUUCCGCCCAUGAACCUAUGCAUAGGGGUUGGCACACAUUUUCGUCGUGAUUCUCUGGUAGAACAUUGGGGCACUCUUUGAGGUCCUUUGUGUUGGUUUGAAUAGAUGAAUCUGAGAUUGUGUGAUGCAUAUCGUAUAAUCAUACCCACAGAUACUUGAGGUGACAUUGGAGUAUCUAGGUGACAUCAGGGUUUUGGUUGAUUUGUGUCUUAAGGUGUUAUUCUAGUACGAACUCUAGGGCUAUUUGUGACACUUAUAGGAAUAGCCCAACGGAUUGAUUGGAAAGAAUAACUUUGAGGUGGUUUCGUACCCUACCAUAAUCUCUUCGUUCGUUCUCCGCUAUUAGUGACUUUGGAGUGACUCUUUGUUGCAUGUUGAGGGAUAGUUAUGUGAUCCAAUUAUGUUAGUAUUGUUGAGGGAACUUGCACUAGUGAAAGUAUGAACCCUAGACCUUAUUUCCUAUCAUUCCAAUAUCGUUUACGCUCACUUUUAUCAUUAGUUACCUUGCUGUUUCUAUAUUUUCAGAUUACGAAAACCAUUAUCUACUAUCCAUAUACCACUUGUAUCACCAUCUCUUCGCCGAACUAGUGCACCUAUACAAUUUACCAUUGUAUUGGGUGUGUUGGGGACACAAGAGACACUUUGUUAUUUGGUUGCAGGGUUGCUUGAGAGAGACCAUCUUCAUCCUACGCCUCCUACGGAUUGAUAAACCUUAGGUCAUCCACUUGAGGGAAAUUUGGUACUGUCCUACAAACCUCUACACUUGGAGGCCCAACAACGUCUACAAGAAGAAUGUUGUGUAGUAGACAUCAGCGGACAAGGCGGAGGCCGCUGUGUUGAAGAAGCUGGUGGAGGCUGAGGCCGAUGCCGCGGCGAAGAAGAUGGCAAAGGAAGCCGCGCGCCGUCAGGCGCCGCUGUUCGUCAUCCCGCUAUAUUCCGCGCCGCUGCCACCAGAGUUCACGGCGCCGACUGGGGGAGCCAGCGACGAAUGGCCGGUCAUGGAGAGGGGAAGCGGCGACGUCGUCACGCCGGAGCUAGCCGUGCCCCCGCCACCGCCUUCUGAAGGAGCACGGGACAAACAGCCAACUGCCCCGCCAAUGCCACCAGCUGGAAACGAGGUAGUGACAGGCCCGACUCCUGAGGCACGCACACCAUCGCACUACCGAGGCGCAAAGGCGACUUCGGCGCCACAACCGCUGGCACUCGGCGCUGCGAGCUCGUCCGUCCCGGAUGCCGAAGCAACCAGCACCGCGCCCCCUAAGUGGGUGCGUGGAGGCGGAAUGGGCGCUUUAAACCAAGCGAUCCUGGACGUCUAGGCCAAACUCUGAGCUGAGGCCACUGCUCUUCAGCAGUGCAACAGGGCAUUAUUGGAUUCGCGAGCGGCCAUUCGGAUAUAUUUCUUACUUCUUCGUCUUUUGAUUCUUGUAUUGCUCUGUGGUGGCGCGCCAGCGCACCCACUGGGUGUAUCCCCCAAGUUUUGGGCCGGCUGCUGAGCAGGCGGCUCGGAACUUUAAUUGGCAAGCUCCGAGUGCUAACUUUUUCUGCUAUCUUCACUGUAGGAUUAUCAUAACCAUCGCGUGAUCACCUUCAACUCCAACGUCUCAGAUCUGGACCGACGGACCGCCGACUUGUCGGAAAGUCGGAGUAAGUCCUUGUUUUCUUUCUCUGUGGGGGCGCGAUAGCACACCCGCGGGCUGUAGUCCUCGAGAUUUGGGCAGACUACUGAGCAGUCGGGCCGGAUCUCCCCGGCAACCGCACUUCUUCUUUGUUGAUCACUGAUGUAUUUUUCUUUCUCUAUUCUUGCAGAUGCCAAUGCCGCCCUACAGCAGCAGCUGGGUGAAGCCGACAUCGGGGUGCGCACUAAGGAGUCAGAGUGCAACGAGCUGGCCCAGGAGUGUGAGCGACUGGCCAAGCAACUGGUGGAGCAGGCGGAGCUUCUCUAGAAGGCCCGGAGGGAGGCGGAGGUGAAAGAGUCCAAUCUUCUCACCGAGUUCGAAACCGAAUGCUCCACCUGGUCCAACAAGGAGGCGCUGCUAAAAUCCCGGCAGGAUUGAAGGCAUGGUUGAUGGUAAGCUUUCUUCUUUUUCUUUCUUUGGGCAACCGGCUGCCGAUCAAGCCAGGUUCUAGCUUCUGACUUCUGACUUUUGAUUUCUUUGCUUUUUUCUUGAGCAGACUUCUUUCCUGGCCAUUCUGACGCCGCCAACCAGGCUAUUGGGGCUUAUCUUGAAGAACAGAGGGCAGAAGGCGUGCAGAUCCCUGCCGACGCCCCCCGGACCCUUAGCGAACAGCUUCUCAGCAUCCAAGCCCGCCUUCGGUCGGCUCAUCGGAUGUUGCGCCAUCUUCAGCGUGUCGGGGCCCAAAUGAUCUCUACCGUUUGGCCAGACAUGCCAGCUCCACGCACUCCCAGUCAGACUGCCGACUGGCUGGAGGUGGUGGCUGUCCGACUCGAGGCUUGGAAGAGUUCCUCGGCCCGAGCUGGAGGGUGCCAGGCCUUGGAGUUCGUCAAGGUGUGGUAUCCUGGGCUAAAUCUAGCCUAGUUGACCACGGCAGGAGGCCCAAGAGGAGCUAGUGGCGGUGGAGCGCGAUCUUGUCAGAUGGGCAGCGGCGAUUGCCAAGUUAACCAACACCAGCAUCUUCGUUCCUGAGCUGGCUGAGAACGGUGCCGAGCCACCACCAGAGUGGUUCGAGCUGAACCCGGAUGACGACGAGGACUCGGCCGAGAUGAUCGACUCCAGCGACGAGGGAGAGGACGAGGAGGACGAGGAAGGCGAAGAAGAUGUUCCAUAAGUCGAAGUGGACGACCAGCCUCAGCUUGACCGUGCCUUGAACAACGAGCUGCGCUCGAGUGCGCCGACUGCUGCUGGAGGCGACCAAGCAGAGACUGACUAGCCAUCCACUCCACCAACUGGCACUUCCGACUCCGCCAACCAACCGGACCCCUCUGCUGCUCCCUAGGCUGCCGACUUAUCUUUAUUUUUCCUACUUUAUCAGUCUCGACAAACUUUGUUAAAUUUGCACAAUUCCACCCGCGGGGUGUAUUUCAAACUUUGUUGAAUGCUGGCCAAGGGCCUUUUGACAUGUAAAUAUUCUUCCACACAAAUUGUGUUUUCGUCGAGUUCUUACUUUUCUUGCUUUCUGCUCCUUGGCUUUUUUUCCUUUGCUGCCCUCCCUUAGUUGUCGUCUUGCCAGCCAGACAACCGCUCUGCGGACUGUGGCUGGGUCAAGUACUUAGCUACUUUCAGGAGGGAAAGUACUUAGCCGACUAGAGUUUUAACAAAUUAAGUAGAAGCCGGCCGGCCGGCUACUCAGCAGCCGGUCGAUGAAGUGGAAAGUCGGCUUGAAAUAUGUGCAUGCUCUGGGUCCUUAGCCAUUUUUCAUGUGGACACCCUUUUAUGUCUUUAGCUCCUGCCCACCGGACAGUCGCUCUACGAGCUACGACUUAUGGCAGGAGAAGGUUAAGGUGCCAACACACUACUUGUCCGACAGCAGGAAGCACCACAUAGUACAAGGCGGCGAGCCCUCGGGCCGACUAGUCGAACCCGGCGCGAGGCGGAAUAAUGAAAUAACACAUUCAUAGGCAUAAUACUUAUCAUAUAGAUAAAAUAGGGUAGCCCCUGAGCUCUUCUCGGGGGACCCGUAGUCUUCGUACUUAAUACAAAAGGUAGCAUGGUACAUACUGCACCAACUGUAAAAUCUUCGAAGGAGGUUGGCAUUCCAUGGCCGCUCUAUCUCCUUGCCAGAAUCGUCUCUCUUGCAUGCUCUGGGCUUCUGAGCAUCGAUCAGGUAGUAGGAGUCGUUGCCCAAAUAUUUGCUGAUGAUGAAGGGGCCUUCCCAAGGUGUUGAGAGCUUGUGCUGGCCGGCUGUCCGCUGGAUCAGCCAAAGCACAAGGUCUCCCUCUUGGAAGGAUCUUGACUUGACCUUGCGAUUGUAGUAUUGGCGUAGACUCUGCUGGUAGAUGGUGGGCCGACUGAGUGCCAAUAGCCGGCCCUCUUCUAGCAGAUCGACGCCGUCUUCUCGUGCUUCUUUUGCCUCCUCCUCAGUGUACAUGGUGACUCGAGGGGAGUCGAACUCUAUGUCCGUCGGGAUGACGGCUUCGGCACCGUAGACGAGGAAGAAAGGCAUGAAGUCGGUUGAUUUGUUUGGAGUUGUGCACAGGCUCCAGAGGACGGCCGACAGCUCAUCGAGCCAACAGUCGGCCGAACGUUCCAGAGGCUCGACCAGUCGGGGCUUGAUGCCGGACAAAAUGAGGCCAUUUGAUCGCUCCACCUGGUCGUUUGACUGCGGAUGGGCAACGGAUGAUAAGUCUAGUCGGAUGCCAUGUGUUGCACAGAAACGAGCCAAGGCGCCUUUGGCGAAGUUUGUGCCGUUGUUGGUGAUGAUGCUAUGUGGUAUGCCAUACUGAAUGGUGAUGUUAGCGAUGAAAGUCACAGCAGUCGGACCAUUCAACUUCUUGAUUGGUUUUGCUUCUAUCCACUUGGUGAACUUGUCCACGGCGAUAAGCAGAUGAAUCAUGCCGCCGCGUGCUGUCUUGAAUGGUCCCACCAUGUCCAGCCCCCAAAGGGUAAAGGGCCAGGCAAUGGGGAUGGUCUUGAGUGCAGAAGCCGACAAAUGUGGCUUGGAGUGGAACUUCUGGCACCCCUUACAUUUCUGGAACAAGUCUUUGGCAUCUUCUAGAGCAGUCGGCCAGAAAAAACCAUGGCGGAAAGAUUUGGCAACAAGUGAUCUUGAAGCUGCAUGGUGACCACACUCUCCCUGGUGGAUAUCUUUGAGGAUUGAUUGGCCUUUCUUCGGCUCCACACAGCGUUGGUACACACCAGUGACGUUGCGCCUCACAAGUUCUUUGUUGACAAUGGUGUAUGCUGCUACCCUACGUUGCGCUUGUCGGGCCGAGAUCUUAUCCGUCGGCAGCUCCUUGUUCACCAGAGAGUUGAGGAUGGGCUGCGCCCAUGACGGUGCUGCUAUUUCUUCGACUACCAGGGCUGCUACUUGUAUGAGGGUGGUUGGGCCGGGAGGCGGCGGGUUGGAGUUGGUUUCCGCUUUCUGGGUCGAUGAAGUCCCCGAGCCGACUGCUUUAGUCCUCGGGCCGGGCUCUGAAGUUCCCGGGCCGGGUGCGACUACUGCAGCCCCCGAGCGAGCUACCGAAGUCCCCGAACCGGCUGCUGGGAUCCCUAGGUCGGAUUUGACUGCUUUGGGGGGAGCUGGCACGAAGAUGGAGUCUGAUUUUGGUGACGUCUUGAUGGAUGGCUUGAGGAGGCAUUGCAGGGCAACGCCGGCUGGUAAUGCUUGCCGGGUGGAGCCAAUUCAUGCCAAAGCAUCGGCUUGCUCAUUGUCGUUUCGUGGCACAAGGAGGAGCUCGCACCCUUCAAAGUAUCCGCUGAGUUGCUGGACGAGAAAGCGGUAGCUUGCCAUGUUUGCAUCCUUGGCGUCCUAGACGCUUGACGACUGCUGGACAACCAAGUCGGAGUUGCCAUAGCACAGGAUCCGGCAAAUGCCGAGUUCCUUGGCAAGCCAGAGCCCGUGUAUAAGUGCUUCGUAUUCAGCUACGUUGUUGGAGGCGGCAAAAUGAAUUUGCAACACAUAUCUGAGCUUGUCGCCUUUGGGAGAGGUAAGGACGAUGCCGGCUCCCAAACCAGUGCGCAUCUUGGAACCAUCAAAAUGCAUCCACCAAUGGGUGGAGUUCGGUGCUGGCGGCAGGUACUGUGUCUCGGCCCAGUCGACGAGGAAGUCGGAUAGUGCUUGGGACUUGAUGGCGGUGCGAGGCUGGUAGUAGAUGGUGUAGGGGGGCAAAUCUAUGGCCCAUUUGGCCACUCGUCCCGAAGCAUCUCGGCUUCCAAUGAUUUCGGCAAGUGGAGCAGUGCAGACAACAGUGAUUGGGUGCUCUUGAAAGUAUGGCUUCAGCUUCUUGGCGGCGAAGUGCACGCCGUAGCACAUCUUCUAAUAGUGGGGGUAGUUCUGCUUGGAGGCAGACAACACUUUGCUCAGGUAAUACACCGGCCUCUGGACUGGUAGUGCUUUGCCGUCUUCUUUGCACUACAAAACUAAGACUGUGCUGACCACCCGGCUGGUGGCGGCGGUGUAGAGAAGCAUGGGCUCCUUAGCAGUCAGAGCUGCCAGGACAGGCGGAGUGGUCAACAUCUUCUUGAGAUGGAGAAAAGGUUCGUCUGCCUUGUCAUUCCACUCGAAAAAAGUGGUCUUCUUCAUGAGCUGGUAUAGGGGAAGAGCCUUCUCGCCCAGCCGACUGAUGAAACAGCUGAUGGAUGCCAAGCAGCCGCUGACUUUUUGCACAUCCAACAGUCGGGUGGGUACUUCCAUCCUCUCGAUGGCCUUGAUCUUCACAAGGUUGCACUCUAUGCCGCGCUCUAAGACCAGAAAACCAAGAAGCUGGCCGGCUAGUACUCCAAAGACACAUUUCUCCAGGUUGAGCUGGAUUUGAAAGCGGCACAAGUUUUCAAAGGUUUCCUUGAGGUCUUCCAGCAGAGUGCCACGCUUCUCCGUCUUCACGACAAUGUCGUUACGUAGACGUGAGCAUUUCUGCCAAGUUGCUUGAGGAGGCACUUCUGCAUGCAACGCUGAAAUGUGGCACCGACAUUUCUCAGGCCGAAUCUCAUGGUUAGGUAGCAGAAGGCUCUGAAUGGUGUGAUGAAGGCAGUCUUCAGGCGGUCUGCUGGGUCCAACUUGAUCUGGUGGUAUCCUGAGUAGGCAUCCAAAAAACUCAACAACUUGCGUCCGACUGUGGAGUCUAUCACUUUGUCGAUUCUUGGCAAGGCAAAUGAAUCUCUAGGGCAAGCUUUGUUGAGGCUGGUGUAAUCAAUACACAUGCGCCACUGCUUAUUCUUCUUCAGUACAGGGACUGGGUUGGCUAACCACUCUGGGAAGAACACUUCCAUGAUGAAGCCGACUGCCAACAAACGGGCGAUCUCUUCUCCAACGAUUCUUCUCUUCUCUUCUGACAGUCGACGGAGGCGUUGCUUGACUGACUUGGCAUCUCCUCUGACAUGUAGCUUGUGCUCGGCGAAAUCCUUUGGGACGCCCGACAUGUCUUUGGAGACCAUGCAAAAAUGUCCCGAUUCUCACGGAGGAAAUCGACGAGCUCACUUUCCUAUUUGUUGUCAAGGUUUGCACCUAUGACAGCGUACCUCUCCGGGUGCUCUGGGUCCAACGAUAUCUUCUUUGUCUCAUUGGCCGGCUUGGAGGAUCCUUCGUCUUCCGACUCCUUUGGAUUGUGGGACAUGUUCGGCUGCUUGACGGCCAUGGCCACAACCCGGUCAAGGAGCCGCUUCUCGGCAGCGAUCACGAGGGACUCGGCCAGCCGGCUGCUGGCGGCCGCGCAAUCGGACAACUUCUGAUGAUCUCCGAAGAUGGUAAUGAUUCCCUUGGCGCUUGGCAUCUUCAUCUUGAGGUAGGCAUAGUGUGGUACUGCCAUGAACUUGGCCAAGGCAGGUUGGCCAAGCAGUGCAUGGUACGAGCUCUCCAAGUCAACUACCUAAAACCAGAUGGGCUCUCGACGAAAAUGGUCUUUGUCUCCGAAGAGGACGUCUAUCUUGAUCUUGCCGAUUGGUUAGUGACAAAGGCCAGGAACUAUGCCAUGGAAGACAGUCCGACUGGGCACAAGGUGCUUGGUUUUGAUCUUCAAUUUCUCCAUGGUGUCACGGUACAGGAUGUUGAUGCUGCUGCCGCCAUCUAUCAAGAUUCAGGAGAAACGAGCAGCUCGCCUCUUCGUAGAAACGAUUGCUUCCAAACCAAAUCGUAAGAACCCGGAGAAGGCAUUACUUCUGGGUGGUCAGCUCGGCUCCAACUGAUUGGCUUCUCCGACCAGUGCAUGAACUCUGGGGCUUCAAUGGCUACAACAUUCACUUCUCGGGACUGUUGGCGCCGGCUGUGCCUGUCAUCGACCACACUGGUGAAAACAACAUAUGCUCCGUGUUCUUCAGGGAAUUUUUCUUGAACGGUGUUGACUGCUGGGCGGGCUGCCGGCUGCUGAGGAGGCGGGGGAGGCUGGCCAGCAGGCGGCGGGGGUACCAUCCUUUUGCCUUUGGAGAUUCGCGUGAGCCAGUGACACUUCCAGGUGGUGUGGUUGGACGGCUUUGCGCCGCUGUGGAAUUUGCAGGGAGCAUUAAGGGUCUGCUCAUAGGAGAAGGCGGGCUGGGCCAAUUCAACUUGCCAUCUUUCUGACGCUUGGGUUGAGGCUGCCCUUCUUGCUGCUGAUCUUCAACUAUGGCCACUUGCCGACUUGUGGAAGCUGGCAUCGGGGCUUUGCGCUUGUUGUCGUUCUGCUGUUGGCGCCGACUGGUAUCACUAGCCGGAGUCCGAGCAGGCUGAGGAGCCACCUUGCCGGAUGCGUCAACUUGAAUCUCCGUCUUCAUGGAGGAGUCGGCCGUCGCGUACUUGUCUGCUAUGAUCAGCAGCUCGUCGAGGGUCGCCGGUUCGUCACAGAGGAGCUUGUGCUUGAGCAGAGUGCCUUCUCUGCACCCUGCUGUAAAGUAAUCUAUAGCCUGCACUUCGUGCAUGCCCUCGCAAGAGUUGUGCAGCUCAGCCAGCGUGUGAGGUAGUCGCGAGUCGACUCGUUGGGACCUUGGACGCUCAAGGAGAGCUAGCGAGGCUUGGGCGGCCGCUUGUACGUGCUGGUGAAGUUGCGGACGAAGGCUUCAGUGAAAUCUACCCAGUUGUUGAUGUUGUGGGGCUUCAGGCUGUUCAGCCAUGUCUGGGCAGUGCCCUGGAGCAUGAGUGGAACAUACUUCAUGGCAACCCGCUUGUUGCUGUUCGCAAUGCUGACGGUGGUGGAGUAGUCGACUAGCCAGUCUUCCGGCUUCCCGGAGCCGGUGUACUUGGGCGUAUCUCUUGGGAGCGUGAACCCUUUGGGGAAGGGCUCGUCACGGAUGCAGGGGCGAAACAAGGCGGGCCUAGCGCGUCUUCUUCUUCUAAUGCCAGGGAUCGGUUGAGGCGGUUGAUCCCGUGGCUGGCAUCAUUCUCUUCGAUUCCUUCUCCGGGGCCUAGCCGGCCGCCGAGACUCGGAUGAUCAACAGGAGGCGGGAGACGUGUCUUUCUCUGCGCGGGGGAGGCCGGUGUCGGUGUCAAAACCGGCGGAUCCCGGGUAGGGGGUCCCGAACUGUGUGUCUAAGGUCGAUGGUAACAGGAGACAGGGGACACAAUGUUUUACCCAGGUUGGGCCCUCUCUAUGGAGGUAAUACCCUACGUCCUGCUUGAUUGAUCUUGAUGAAUAUGAGUAUUACAAGAGUUGAUCUACCACGAUAUCGUAAUGGCUAAACCCUAGAGGUCUAGCAUGUAUGGUUAUGAUAGUGUCUCUCCCUCCAGAAUAAGUCCUCCGAUUUAUAUAGACACCGGGAGGAUCUUGGGUUACACAAGGUCGGUUACAAAGAAAGGAAUCUACAUAUUUAGUUGCCAAGCUUGCCUUCCACGCCAAGGAGAAUACCAUCUGGACACGGGUGUGAUCUCCGGUCUUCAUAUCUUCACAACCCAUCAGUCCGGCCCAUGGCUAACAGGCCGGACGCCCGAGGACCCCUUAGUCCAGGACUACCUCAGUAGCCCCUGAACCUGGCUUCAAUGACAAGGUAUCCGGCGCGUAGGCCUGUCUUCGGCAUUGCAAGGUGGGUUCCUCCUUCCGAAUUUCCAAAAUAGUCUUCGGACGUAUCGACGUGUCCAGACCUAUAACACACACCACACACAACCGCAGAGAGAAUAUAAUUUUACAUGAGUCCAAUCUGCUGACAACUUUCCAUAACAUGACAUCACAUCUGUCCGGUCAUAAUUUCGAACCGUUUUUCGUCUGCUGCCCCAUGUUUCGAGACGCGGUUGCCAUUGGCACGUCUCAUCAAAGCAGAGAUUGUGUCCCCUUAUUACGGGAUUCUCAUUAAUACGGGUGUGGGUAACCCAACCGUGUCAUUUACAUAGCCCUUGGGAAUAGGCGAGUUUUAAGGCGAGUAGGAAGGCGUUUGACAUUCACGGCCUUUAUAAGGGGAUAAGGAUUCAUACUCUCUCACCCCUGCCUUCUCCUUCCUUUGCCCAUCCAUUCUCGAGCUCCAGCAUCCAAGCUCUAGCUUCCCCCACUGGAUAAAGCACUCCAACCAUGUCUGGAUCCGGAGCUCGUGUCAAGUGGAUGGCCUCCUCUGUUAAGAAUAAAGACAUCAAGGAGCUCCAAGAGGCCGGAUACCUGGCCAAGGAGAUCGUUCACUGUCUCCCGUCCGAGGGACAGAUCGUCCCUACCCAGAGGCCCAUGAGAGGGUUGUGUUUCUCACACAUUUCGUCCGCAGGCUGGGAUUCCCUCUCCACCCGUUUGUCCGUGGACUGAUGUUUUACCACAAGCUGGACUUCCAUGAUCUAGCCCCCAACUUUAUCCUCAACAUCUCGGCAUUUAUAGUCGUUUGCGAGGCCUUUCUCCGCAUCCCACCUCACUUCGGCCUAUGGCUGAAGACCUUCAAUGUAAAGCCGAAGGUGGUGAGAGGCCAACAAGCAGAAUGCGGAGGUGCGAUGGUGGGCAAGAUUCCCAACGUCACAUGGCCUGAAGGAUCCUUUGUGGAGACGGUGAAGGGGUGGCAGUCGGGGUGGUUCUACAUCACCGAGACACGUGACACCAACUGGGCGGCGGCCCCCGAAUUUCGAUCCGGAGCUCCGCUGUGGCACACCUCCUGGCAAGAGAAGGGCCUAACCUGGGGUUCUUCGAACGAGCUAACUAGGCUCCAGACGUGCGUCCAGAACAUGAUAACCAAGAGAAUCAAACUUGUCAACGUGAUCCAGGUUAUGCUCAUUCGAGGGAUCCUUCCGUGCCAACACCGGACUUGCUAUUUGUGGGAGUUCGAUUCAGCCAAGCACCACACGCUGCUAGAGCUCUUCGGCAUGACGCACGAAGACAUCUGGAUAUUGUUCUUCAAUGCCAGCGAGACACCACUGCCUACGACCGAGGAUCGCGGGCUCAGCUUAAAACGCUAGGCUAAUUCGGUAAGUUCUUUCAUGUUUUCAAGGUAUAGCCUUUACUGGCAUAUUUUGCGAAGGAGUCUAACCCUUCCUAUCAAUUUUUUAGGCCUGGAUCGACAUAGCGGGGCAGAUUAACUGUCCGGCUCCGCUACCCGAAGACCAAGAGACCCCGCUUCUGACGAAGAUGCUGUUUCUGACGCUUUAUGAUGUGCCAGAGCAGAAGGCCAAGAAAACGGCCAAGGGGGUCCGGAGUGGCCUUCGCCAAAAAGGCGCUUUCGACGUGGGGACCCCCUCUUCGGCCGCCGAAGAUGACGACGACGAGGAGGAAGAGAGCGACUCUCCCCCUUGGGGGGAAGGAAGAAAAGGGGGUCUCCCCAAAUUUGGAGGCGAAGGCGCCCAAGAGGGAGAAGGGCUCCCUUGCGGAUAACUCCGUGUGGGAUGUCUAUAGCAGUCCGGAGCGAAUACCCCGGACCAAGCCUUGGGCCGCCUUGUAAGUACAAAAAACCUUAUGGACACCAAAAUGCCUGGCCUUUCCAUUUUGUAAUAUUGAUAUGUUUAAAUUAUGCCAUCACAGUCCAGCCCGCGACAGCUCCCUGCGAUCCUCGACAAAGGGUUCGCUAGAUUCAAAGGAGAUGGCCAGCAUGUCACCGCCACCUGCUCACUCCCCCAAGGCUAAGGACGACGCGGAGGUGUUGUCCUGAAGGACUUUCCUGGGCCCGGGAGAGGCUCAGGAGGAGCCAGAAGGCGAUGCCUCCGUCGCCGGACACCAGCGGGAGCCGAUCCCCAUGGAGACUGGUGGUGAGGAGGGCCGUGUUCUGUCCGGCCCUCAGCCGGACUCGAUUCCAGAGACCGACGCAGCUCCCAAAUCCGGCACGCAACCUCCUUUGAAAGAAGGGGGUAUACGUAUUCCGCCGGUGACCCCUGUCCAACCCAGGGCACCGGAUAAUCUGCUGGAAGCGCUACGAGGCGCUUCAAAUUGUGGGUGAGCACCGUGUCCUUAUGGGCACGGUAAUUGAGAAGGUUUAGUACGCCAAAAGCGGACUGACUGAGGCCCGUGCUAGCCUUUUAACAGGCUUUGAGGUAAGUAGUGUAAUUGUAGAAAGGAUAUCACAGUGUAGACAGUAGCCCCUGAUGCUCUGUUUGGUGUUCAGAAAGAAAAAGCCAAACAGAGGAUCAAAAAAUAAUUUUCGCAGGAGUCUAACGUAAGAUGUGUAUGUGAAUAAGCAGGCGUCGCUGCUGGCUGCUGCCGCUCACACUGCGGAGGUCACCGUCCUGAAGCAGAUCCUGGAGCAGGCCAAAGAAGAGCUCGACCUCAUGAAGAAGCAGCUCGAGGACAACCAAUGUAUGCAGUGACUUGCGCAUGUAUUGAGGAAGGAUGAACGUUCCGUGCUGACUAAAGUGUCAUGAAUUUUAUUAGCAGUCAUGACUGAGGUGGUGGCCUUCAAGAAGGCGUUAGAUGAGGCUGAGGACAAAGCGGCCAAGGAGCGCGCCGCGCGCGAGAAACACGAGGCCCAGGUCAGCGAGGUCCAGCAAGAACUCCAGGAUGCCGUCAAGAAGUACGAGUCCUUGGAGCGUGAUUCUAAGACGCAAGCGUCUGAACUUGCAAAGGCCCGCCAGAGUGCACAAGAGGCUCGAGCCGAGGCCCAGAGCACCCUUCAGGAAAUCCAGGCGGCCAAGAAGAUCGCGGCGGGUAAGGCAUUCAUUAUGCAAAGCAAGUCUAUGAAGGAAACAUUCCUUUUACUUCCCCGAAUUUGGAGUUCUCCAGGGGCGUUACCAGAUUUGCCGCGUAGCGUACCAUAUGCUACUGAGUUCUAUCGAGCCGUAGAAGGGAGUUCUAUGGAGAAGCUGUUCUGGUCUCAACAUCAUGGACCAGAACAUCCGGUGCCCUUCAGCGACUAGCUGAAACAGCUGGUCGAGCUGCACAAGGUGGCCGAGCUAGCCAUGAAGGACCUGGUAGUCCGACUAUGGCCUACCGUGCCGAUACCUAGCAGCUACUUUGGACUUGUGAAGCGGCUUGUUAGUACCUUCCCACGGCUUGAGUUCAUAAAGCGAUCGGUCUGUAUUGAAGGUGCCCGGAUGGCCUUUGCCUGUGUCAAGAUGCACUGGGCGAAGAUGGAUGCCAAGAAGCUGAUGACCGAGGGGCCGCCUGAGGGCAAGGAGCACCGCCAUCCCGAGUUAUAUUUUGAUGGUGUCCUGGAGGGAUCCCGCCUUGUGGCGGAGCAAUGUGCAAAGGAUGUUAUAUUCCCAUGAAAAUAUUUGUAUUAUCCUGUCCCGUAACAUGAAUCAACGAUGUUGUGUAAUAUAAUGCUUGUUAUGUUUUAAUUUUUUCCUCCUGUGCGGCCGUGUUGUAUGAAAUCUGAGGAUUGGCCAGUCGUCGGCUUCUGCCCCCAUGUAGGUAGUACGGGGGUGUUCGGGAUGGAAUCUAAAGAAUCUUGAUCCAAUUAUAUGGUCCUUGAAGGAUUUGUUUAGUGCAACGAACCAGGCAACGGAACUAUGCGGCUUGAACGCCCUCACUUAGCCAUAGGAGUUUUACAAUCAAAACAUGGGCGCAACCCCUAGUAUCCAAACUAGAGUGCUAUAAGCGUCUGAUCGGGAAGUACCGAUCCUUCGCGUAACGCGGAAGAAAUCUCCAACGAUUUGUAACCUCUGAACAGUUGACCGGCUUUCGCUGCAUCAUGACAGUCAAUUUUUCGCUUUCUCUACUCAGGUGCUCCUUUGGAUAAACCAAGGCACAAUCGCAGUAGUUCUCCCUUUACUACCUUAGCCGGUAUAGCGGAACGUAAGGUAGCAAGCACAGGAGCCAGCACAUGAUUCAGAGCCAAUGCAUAUAAUGCUAAACUCGGGGUGCCGAACUAUACUUUAUAAAAAGUGUUCGGACUUUUGUUGUCGUAACAUGGGGUUCUAUGAAGCCCCUGGCAAACAUCAAAUGUACCAAAGUGUAUGGGUGCUACCUGAUAGGGUUAUCCAUGGGGGACCUGAAAAAGAGAAAGAAAACAGAAAAGGUACAACGGUAAAAAGCUGGGGUCCUAAAGCUCCAACCGCAAACUGUUCUUAUUGUAAUUUAAUUAGUACGUCAAGGCACAUUGAUACAGGCAGUGCGAUAAGCAACAGGCUAUUUGACAUGCCAAAACCAAGGGAGAGCUGGAUGUGGGUCCUGAAAAACAGGUAGGGUUAUCGUUAACGGAAUCACCUAAAAAGUCCCGGUAUGUCUGUGUUUCUCGCUGUCUUGGUGUGUUUAUCCUUCAAAAGCUAGCUAUGCCUCCGUCGAUGCCCAUGGGAUUUUUAGUGCGUAGUUAUGUACACGCGGCACGAAUGCCACCACUUGAUCGGGACUGAGAUGGAGGCCGGAUUGCUAGUCGAGCUCCUGACGAGCCAAGCUCUCCUACUACAUAGUACUUCGGACCCACUUAACGGUGUCUGUGGGCUCGGCAGCCGAAUUAAGGUUCUGCUUGAGAAGGCCGCUCUGUACUUAUGCUGCUAAGGCAGCUGUGUGCUCUUCUGUACGAAGGGAGCGUUCCAUAUUUCCGUUGACCAUUAUGACGUCGCGUGGACCGGGCAUAUUGAGCUUGAGAUAAGCAUAGUGUGGUACUGCGUUGAAUCGAGCAAAUGCAGUUCAUCCGAGCAGUGCGUGAUAGCCGCUUCAGAAGGGGAUGAUGUCGAAGAUUAACUCCUCGCUUUGGAAGUUGUCCGGAGAUCCGAAGACAACCUCUAGUGUGAUUGAGCCCAUAUAGCAGGCCUCUACACCUGGUAUGACUCCUUUGAAGGUAGUCCUGGUGCGCUUAAUCCGUGAUGGGUUAGUGCCCAUUUUUCGCGCUGUAUCCUGAUAGAGCAGAUUGAGACUGCUACCUCCGUCCAUAAGGAUGCGAGUCAGGUGGAACCCAUCCAUUAUUGGGUCUAGGACCAAUGCGGCCGAGCCACCGUGACAGAUACUGGUCGGAUGAUCCCGACGAUCAAAAGUGAUCGGGCAUGACGACCAUGGACUAAAUUUUGGGGCGACUGGCUCUAUCGCAUAGACGUUCCUGAGCGCACGCUUGCGCUCCCUCUUGGGGAUGUGGGUAGCGUAUAUCAUGUUCACUGAGGGAGUCCUGGAUUAGGGGGUAUCCGGAUGGCCGGACUAUACCUUCAGCCGGACUCCUGGAUUAUGAAGAUACAAGAUUGAAGACUUCAUCGCAUGUCCGGAAGGGACUUUCCUUGGCGUGGAAGGCAAGCUUGGCGAUACGGAUAUUCAGAUCUCCUAUCAUUAUAACCGACUUUGUGUAACCCUAACCCUCUCCGAUGUCUAUAUAAACCGGAGGGUUUUAUCCGUAGGACGACAUAAACAUCAACAAUCAUUCCAUAGGCUAGCUUCUAGGGUUUAGCCUCUCUGAUCUCGUGGUAGAUCUACUCUUGUAGUACCCAUAUCAUCAAUGUUAAUCAAGUAGGACGUAGGGUUUUACCUCCAUCGAGAGGGCCCGAACCUGGGUAAAACUUCGUGUCCCUUGCCUCCUGUUACCAUCCGGCCUAGAUGCACAGUUCGGGACCCCCUACCCGAGAUCCGCCGGUUUUGACACCGACAUUGGUGCUUUCAUUGAGAGUUCCUCUGUGUCGUCGCCGUUAGGCUCGAUGGCUUCUACGAUCAUCAACAGCGAUGCAGUCCAGGGUGAGACCUUCCUCCCCGGACAGAUCUUCGUCUUCGGCGGCUUCGCACUGCGGGCCAAUUCACUUGGCCAUCUGGAGCAGAUCGAAAGCUACUCCCCUGGCCAUCAGGUCAGAUUCGGAAGCUUAAACUACACGACUGACAUCCGCGGGGACUUGAUCUUCGACGAAGUCGAGCCACUGCCGAGCACGCCGCACUGUGCCGAUGAGCAUGAUCUAGCUCUGCCGCCGAACAGUGCCCUGGAGGCCGCACCCGCAUCAGCUUCAACCCUUAAUUCGGAGCCAACUGCGCUGAUCGAGGAUGGGCGGUUGGAUGCCACAUCGGGGGCUGCGAUCCCAAUGGUGAUCGAGCCGAACACCAGCCCCGUACUCUGUGAGACUCGUGACUCCAAGGAGCUGGACUCCUCUCUAAACUCCGUACCCUCCGCGCCACUGCCAAUCGAAUCUGAUUGGGCGCCGAUCAUGGAGUUCACUGCCGCAGACAUCUUUCAGUACUCGCCUUUCGGUGAUAUCCUGAAGACACUGAAGUCUCUCUCUUUAUUAGGAGAGCCCUGGCCAGACUGCGGCCAGCAAGGUUGGGGCACGGAUGAUGAAGAAAUUCAAAGCCCACCCACCACCCACUUUGUAGCCAUUGUCGACGACUUAACCGACAUGCUCGACUUUGACUCUGAAGACAUCGACGGUAUGGACGCCGAUGAAGGAGAUGAUGAAGAACCAGUGCCUACUAGACCCUGGAAAGCCACCUCAUCAUAUGACAUAUACAUGGUGGACACCCUAAAAGAGGGAGAUGGCAAUGGAACAGCGGAGGAUGACCCCUCCAAGAAACAGCCUAAGCGCCGGCGUCAGCGGCGCCACUCAAAAUCCCGCCAACACAAAAACGGUGAUUCCAGCACGGGAGAUAAUAAUACUCCAGAGAGCGCCGAAGAAAACCCCCUCUAGCAAGAUUCAGCAUAGGAGGAUGGAGAAACCAUCCCUCAUGAGAGAGCGGCAGACAGAGAGGUCGAGGACGAUAAUUAUAUGCCACCCUCCGGAGACGAUGCAAGCUUCGACGACGACGAAUUCGUCGUGCCAGAGGAUCCCGUUGAGCAAGAGCGUUUUCAACGCAGGCUUAUGGCCACGGCAAGAAGCCUCAAGAAAAAACAGCAACAACUCACAACUGAUCAAGAUUUGCUGGUUGACAGAUGGACUGAAGUCCUUGCGGCCGAAGAGCAUAAACUCGAACGCCCCUCCAAGAGCUACCCAAAGCACAGGUUGCUACCCCGAUUAGAGGAGGAAGCACUUGAUGCGGCCGAACGGCCACCUCGUGGCCGCGACAGAGAGGCCUCCCGGCCCUCCACUCAAGCCGCACCCCAAACCAAGGCACGGGAAUAUGCGCCGGACUUAUGAGACAUGUUGGAGGACAAGGCAAGGCAAACACGAUCGAUCUACGGAUCGCGUGGGCACCCCACGGCUCGAGAUGGUAACCGUCACGCCGGCCUCAAAUUCGGCAGGGCCGAACACAGUAGACAAAGCUCAUUGGAGCUAUGUCAUGAUAUCGCCCAGUAUAGAGGCGCCGCACACCCACUAUGCAUUACAGACGAAAUAAUGGAUCAUCAAAUCCCCGAGGGUUUCAAACCCGUAAACAUCGAAUCAUAUGAUGGCACAACAGAUCCUGCGGUAUGGAUUGAGGAUUAUCUCCUUCAUAUCCACAUGGCCUGCGGCGACGAUUUCCACGCCAUCAAAUACCUCCCACUCAAGCUUAAAGGACCAGCUCGGCAUUGGCUUAACAGCUUGCCAACAGGAUCAAUCAGUUGUUGGGAGGACCUGGAAGCCACAUUCCUCGACAAUUUCCAGGGCACUUAUGUGCGACCCCCAGACUCCGAUGACCUAAGUCACGUAAUUCAGCAGCCAGAGGAAUUGGCCAGACAAUUCUAGACACGGUUCCUAACAAAGAAAAAUCAAAUAGUCGACUGUCCGGACGCUGAGGCCCUAGCAGCCUUCAAGCACAAUAUCCGUGACGAGUGGCUGGCCCGGCACCUCGGACAGGAAAAGCCGAAAUCUAUGGCAGCACUCACGACACUCAUGACCCGCUUUUGCGCAGGAGAAGACAGUUGGCUUGCUCGUAGCAACAAUAUGACCAAGAACCCUGGUAAUUCGGACACCAGGGACAUUAGUGGCAGGUCGCGUCGCAACAAGCAGAAGCGUCGCAUUAACGGCGACAAUGCUGAGGAUACGGCAGUUAAUGCCGGAUUCAGAGGCUCUAAAUCCGGUCAGCGGAAAAAGCCAUUCAAAAGGAAUCCUAGGGGCCCGUCCAUCUUGGACCGAAUACUCGACCGCUUGUGCCAAAUACAUGGCACCCCCGAAAAGCCGGCCAAUCACACCAACAGGGAUUGUUGGGUGUUCAAGCAGGCAGGCAAGUUAAACGCUGACAAUGAAGACAAGGGGCUGCAUAGCGAUGACGACGAGGAGCCCCGGCCGCCGAACAACAAUGGACAGAAGGGUUUUCCCCCACAAGUGCGGACGGUGAACAUGAUAUACGCAACCCACGUCCCCAAAAGGGAGCGGAAGCACGCGUUACGGGACGUAUACGCGGUAGAGCCAGUCGCCCCAAAGUUCAACCCAUGGUCCUCCUGCCCGAUCACCUUUGAUUAAAGAGACCAUCCCACCAGCAUCCGUCAUGGCGGAUUUGCCGCAUUGGUUCUAGACCCAAUUAUUGACAGAUUUCAUCUCACUAGAGUCCUUAUGGAUGGCGGCAGCAGCCUGAACCUGCUUUACCAGGACACAGUGCGGCAAAUGGGCAUAGAUCCCUCGAGGAUUAAGCCCACCAAAACGACCUUUAAAGGCGUAAUACCAGGUGUAGAGGCCAACUGUACAGGCUCAGUCACACUUGAAGUGGUCUUCGGAUCUCCGGAUAAUUUCCGAAGCGAGGAGUUGAUCUUCGACAUAGUCCCAUUCCGUUGUGGCUAUCAUGCACUGCUCGGACGAAUCGCAUUCGCCAAGUUCAAUGCGGUACCGCACUACGCAUACCUUAAGCUCAAGAUGCCAGGCCCUCGUGGAGUAAUUACGGUCAAUGGAAACACCGACCGCUCCCUCCGAAUGGAGGAGCACACUGCGGCCCUUGCAGCGGAAGUACAAAGCAGCCUCUCCAGGCAGUUCUCCAGUCCGGCCAUUAAACGUCCGGACACCGUCAAGUGCACCCAGAGUAACCCACAACAAGACCGCCUGGCACGUUUCGAGGAGGCGUAGCAAUGCGGCCCCAACCCCAACCCUCGCAAAAAGGCGACGCCAGUACUUCGCGUACAUAACUACUCUCUAGAAAUACCAUGGGCAUAGGGGGAGGGGCACCAUUACGGCACGCCCACAACACGGCUUAAACCGCACCAGGGGCUGCCGAUUUUUUUAUUUUCUCUUACUUUCAGGACUCUACUCUUCGGAAGGCCUGUUCGGCAGUUCAAUUGCCGCACAAACGAUGCAAGAACCAGGGAAGCAGAUAAGCCAUGCCGCAUUACGGAACUCCCAGGUGGUCUCUAUCAUGAGCAGUAUACCUGUUUCGCAUACUAUUCCGCAGCUUGCCCCUGGAGCAGACAUGUUAAAUAGUCCAACUUUUUGUUUAUCGCAUUACUUGUAUCAUUCUGCUUCGAUCGCAGCUAUUUUUAAUAAACAAUGCAUAGCUUUUGUCUAUUUUUGCAUUACCUUUUUAUAAAUAAAUGUUCCUUAAUGACAUGUUGCACCCGUACAAUUUGGUACGGCCAAAAUACGCCAGGGGCUUUUAGCACCCCUCAAUAUGGUGUGAGAAGUCUGAACACUUUCACAAGUGCGGCACCCCGAACUUAUAGCAUUAUAUGCAUCGGCUCCGAAUCAUGUCUUGGGUCAAUAGUUGGGAUUGCCCGGCUCCUAUGUUUUGGUGCCUUACGUUCCGCUAUAUCAGCUAAGGUAGCACUAGGAGAACCACUGCAAUUGUGCCCCAGUUGAGUUGGGCCGAGCACCUCAAUGGAGAAAGCUAAAACUGACUGUCAUGAUGAAGCGAGAGCUGGUCGCUAUCCGAGAGGUUUUUUUGAGUCCCUAAAGACUUAUGCCGCUUAGGGCGAGGAGUCGGCUCUGUCCGGCCAAGGCAUGGAUAGUGCCCCGAACUCGGUCUUUCGAAUACUAGGGACUUCGCCAAAAUUUAAAAUUAUAGAAUUCUAUGGCUAAGUGAGAGUAUUCACGCAUUAUAGUCCAUUUGCCUUGUUCGUUGGGCUGAGCGCCUCCCUCGAAGAACCCAAAAAUGGGAAAAAGAGCGCCCAGGUUUAUCCCCGAACACCCCAGCACUAGCGGCACGGGGGCAAAAGCCGACGUCUCGCCAUCUCUCAGUAUUGAUAAACAGCCGCACAAAAGGUAAUAUUUUAAAUUCCAACAGCAUUGCUUAGCGCAUAUGAACAAGUUUUCAGCGCACAGGAUAACACGAGCGAGUUUUACUCAAAAAAUACAUCCUUGGUACAUUCAUCCGCCACAAGGCAGGCACCCUUCAGAACAUCCUUGUAAUAAUUCUCGGGCUUGCGAUGCUCCUUCCCCGGCGGUGGCCCGUCCUUCACAAGCUUCUCAGCAUCCAGCUUGCCCCAGUGCACCUUAGCACGGGCAAGGGCCCUACAGGCACCUUCAAUGCAGACGGAGCGCUUGAUGUCUUCGAGCCUCGGACAUGCCCCCACCAGCCGCCGCACCAGCCCGAAAUAGCUCCCAGGCAGAGCCUCUCCAGGCCAUAGCCGAACUACGAGGCCCUUCAUGGCCUGUUCGGCCGCCUUGUGUAGCUUGACCAGUUGCUUCAGCUGGUCGCUCAGGGGCACGGGGUGUCCGGCCUCAGCAUACUGAGACCAGAACACCUUGUCUGUCGAGCAGCCCUCCUCGGCCCGAUAGAAUGCGGUGGCAUCGGACACACUCCAGGGAAGAUCUGCGAACGCUCCUGGAGAGCGCCGGAUUCGGGUAAAGUAACAAGUAACUCACGUUUAUAUAUUUGCUUUGCAUGAAGAAUGCCUUACCCGCCGCUAUCUUCUUCACCUCAUCCAACUCCUGGAGGGUCUUCUGGGAUUCGGUCUUGGCAGACUUGGCAUUUUCAAUAGCCGCCGCGAGCUCGGACGCUCGCGUCUUUGAGUCAAGCUCCAAACUCUCAUGUUUUUCCAUGAGAACCUGGAGCUCUUGCCGCACCUUGCCAACCUCGGCCUCAUACUUCUCCCGCUCGGUGCGCUCCGCGGCCGCACUCUUCUCGGCCUCGAGCAGCGCUUGCUUAAGGGUUGCCACCUAAGACGUGGCCCCUACAAUAGCCACGUUAAUCCUGUCAUUUUUUGCAAUUGCACCUUUUUAUAUAUAUUCAAACAAGGUAUUUCUUACCUUCCUUCUCCUAGAGCUGCUUCUUGGCACGCCCGAGCUCUUGCUCGGACUUCUCAAGGCUCUGCUUCAGCGUGUCCACUUCCGCGGUCAGUGCAGCGGGCGCCAGCAGAGAAGCCUGCAUACGCAUAUUGACUACUUUGAUUAGACUCCUGCGAAUUCUUUGAUCCUCUAUUCGGCUUUUCUUCCCGAACGCCCAACAGAGCAUCAGGGGCUACUGUCUAUGCGGUAAUAUUAUUUACACAUAAUUUACUUACCUCAAAGCCUGUCAAAAGGCUAGUACAAGCUUCAAUCAGUCCGCUCUUGGCGGACUGAACCUUCUGGACCACCACACUCAUAAUAGUGCGGUGCUCCUCGUCGAUGGAGGCGCCUUGGAGCACCUCCAACAUAUUGUCUGGCGCCUCCGGUUGGACGGGGGCCACCGACACGAUGGACUUGCUCCUCUUGGAAGGAGGUCCCCCGCCGGACUCUGGAACCUUUGAAGGUUCCGGAACAGUGUCCGGCCUAGAACCGGACUUGGAGCCCUGGGGGGUUUCAUCCCCUUUACUCCUGGAGUCCGGGAGGUCGCCUUGCGGCGCCUCCAGGACCACCUCCUCCCUGCUUGGAACCUAUUGAGACAACACUUCGGUGUCGUCCGCAGUGCGGGGGGAGGAAGCCGUCGGAAGCGAGUUCACAUCCGACGAGUCUAGUGAGCCGCUCGACGACGCAUCGAGCCGGUCCUUGGGUGGGCUGCAUAAACAUAUUCGACAUAAGGGAAAACUAUGCAAUAAACGAAUACGAUGAAUUACUCUGGUAUCCGGAUACUCACAAUUUCGCCAGGGGCUUGGCCCUAGGCUGCCACUCCCCUCCGCCGUCGUCGCCGUCGGUCGAGUAGUCCGGAGGAAGGGUUUUCCCCUUCUUGGACCCUCCGGCCUCCCCAGAGAGGGCGGCCUUCCUUUUCUUCUCUCCUCCCACUGGAGGGGGAGAGGUUUCUUCUUCUUCCUCCUCGUCUUCACGAGGGGAAUGGGCUUCGGAACCGUCGGGUGAUGAAUCCGACACCUCCUGGCACCGGGCACUCUUUUGAGUCCCCGUGGCCCUUUUCGCGGCCUUCUUCUCCGGCACCACAUAGGGUGCCGGAACCAUGAGCUUCGCCAAGCGAGCGUCCGCUGGGCCUUCGGGCAAAGGAGCCGGACAGUUGAUCUGUCCGGACGUCACCUGCCAAUCCUGUCAAAGGUAAGGGAGCUUAGAUCCCGCAUGGAGUUAAACUAUGAAAAACUGAUACCCUGUAAAAGGACAAACAUAGCUUACCGCGAGAGCGUGACGCUGCGCACUGAAUCCGUGAUCCUCGGUAGCGGAUGCGGGAGCCUCGGCACCCUUGAAAAGCAUCCUCCAGGCAUCUUCGUACGUCAUGUCGAAGAGCCUGUUCAGAGUUCGGUGAUGCGCCGGGUCGAACUCCCACAUGUUGAAGGCCCGUUGUUGACACGGGAGGAUCAGGCGGAUGAGCAUAACCUGGACUACGUUGACAAGCUUGAGCUUCUUGUCUGCCAGGGUUUGGAUGCAUGUUUGGAGUCCGGUCAGCUCUCCUUUUUUACCCCAAGAUAGGCCCGUCUCCUUCCAGGAGGUGAGCCGCAUAGGGGGACCAGAUCGAAACUCAGGGGGUGCAACCCAUUCGGCGUCACGCGGCUCAGUGAUGUAAAACCACCACAAUUGCCACCCCUUUAGGGUCUCCACAAAGGAGCCCUCGUGCCACAGGACGUUGGCCGUCUUGCCCACCAUGGCACCUCCGCACUCCGCCUGGCUGCCGCGCACCACCUUCGGCUUGACGUUGAAAGUCUUGAGCCAUAGGCAGAAAUGGGGGCGGAUGCGGAGGAAAGACUCGCACACGACGAUAAACACCGAGAUGUUGAGGACGAAGUUCGGGGCCAGAUCGUGGAAAUCCAGGCCGUAGUAGAACAUGAGCCCCCGGACAAAUGGAUGCAGAGGGAAGCCCAGUCCGCGAAGGAAAUGGAGGAGGAAUACCACCCUCUCAUGGGGCCUAGUGGUGGGGAUGAGCUGCCCCUUUUCGGGAAGCUGGUGCGCGAUGUCGUUAGACAGCUAUCCGGCCUUCCUCAGCUUUUUUAUGUGUCCCUCCGUGACGGAGGAGACCAUCCACUUGCCUCCCGCUCCGGACAUGACUGGAGAAGGUUGAGGUGGGAGUGCGGACUUGGGCGCUGGAGCUCGAGUGCGCAAGAAUGGAUAGACAAAGGAGGAAGAAGGCGUGGGUGAAAAGUUGGAUCCUUAUCCCCUUAUAUGGGUGGACGCAACUACAUGUCCCCACCAGCCUGGUAAAACUCGCUUAUCUCCAAGCGUCGUAAUUAGAGGCGCGGUUGGGUUACCCAUGCCCGUAUUGAUGAGAAUCCCAGAAUAAGGGGACACGAUCUCUGCUUUGACAAUACGUGCCGAGGAAACCGCCUCGCAUGACGCACUGAGGUGGGAUAAUGAAACGACUCGGAUAAAGGCUUGGCCGUGGUGUGUCACACUACGGGAUACAUCAGCAGAUUAGAUUUGUGUAAAUAUUAUUCUCUCUAUGGCAAUAUGUGGAAAACUUAUUUUGCAGAGCCGGACACUAUCUUUGUGUUUAAAAUCUUCUAUGAAGUACUUGGAGGAGGAACCCGCCUUGCAAUGCCGAAGACAAUCUGCGCGCCAGACUCGUCGUCAUUGAAGCCUAGUUCAGGGGCUACUGAGGGAGUCCUGGAUUAGGGGGCUACCGGAUGGCCGGACUAUACCUACAGCCGGACUCCUGGAUUAUGAAGAUACAAGAUUGAAGACUUCGUCCCGUGUCCGGAAGGGACUUUCCUUGGCAUGGAAGGCAAGCUUGGCGAUACGGAUAUUCAGAUCUCCUACCAUUGUAAUCGACUUUGUGUAACCCUAACCCUCUCCGGUGUCUAUAUAAACUGGAGGGUUUUAGUCCGUAGGACGACAUACACAUCAACAAUCAUUCCAUAGGCUAGCUUCUAGGUUUAGCCUCUCUGAUCUCGUGGUAGAUCUACUCUUGUACUACCCAUAUCAUCAAUAUUAAUCAAGCAGGAUGUAGGGUUUUACCUCCAUCGAGAGGGCCCGAACCUGGGUAAAACUUCGUGUCCCUUGCCUCCUGUUACCAUCCGGCCUAGACGCACAGUUCGGGACCCCCUACUCGAGAUUCACCUGAGGGGGAAACUUCUUCUGUCCCCUUGUAUUUGGUUGCUGGGGCUCUUCGUCAUCAUCCUCGCUUUGUGAUCCCUUUUCCCUGUUCUCGGCGUUUAAUUUGCUGGCAUGUUUAAAAACCCAGCAAUCUCUAUUUGUAUGAUUGGGUGGUUUGUCCGGGGUGCCAUGAAUCUGGCACGGAUGAUCAAGUAUGCGGUCCAAGCUGGAUGGGCCUGAAUUGUUCUUUUGGAACGGCUUCUUCCGCUGACCGGACUUAGAGCCACUGAAUUCGGCAUUGACUGUUGUGUCCUCGGUGUUGUCAUUGUUGUUUCGACGCUUGUAUCUAUUGCGUCGAGACUUGUCUUUGUUAUUUUUAACUUCAGGGGUGCCGGCUUCACUUGCAUUGUUUUUGCUACGGGCCAACCAACUGUCCUCGCCCGCACAAAAGUGGGGCAUGAGUGCCGUAAGGGCCGCCAUGGAUUUUGGCUUUUCUUGGCCGAGGUGGCGAGCGAGCCAUUCGUCGCAAAUGUUGUGUUUGAAGGCUGCUAGGGCUUCAGCAUCUGGACAAUCGACGAUUUGGUUCUUUUAGUUAAGAACCUAGUCCAGAAUUUCCUGGCGAGCUCUCCAGGUUGUUGAACUAUGUGGCUUAAGUCAUCGACGUCUGGUAGCUGGACAUAUGUACCUUGGAAGUUGUCGAGGAAGGCUUCUUCCAAGUCCUCCCAGCUACAGAUAGAAUUUUCACGCAGGCUGUUUAACCAGUGCUGUCUGACCCCUUGAGUUUUAAAGGGAGGUAUUUGAUGGCGUGGAGGUCAUCACCACGAGCCAUAUGAAUGUGGAGAAUGAAGUCUUCGAUCCACACCGCGGGGUCCGUGGUUCCAUCGUAUGAUUCUAUAUUCACGGGUUUAAACCCUUCUGGGAAUUCAUGAUCCAUGACCUCAUUAGUGAAGCAAUGAGGGUGUGCGGCGCCUCUAUAUCGGGCCGUAUCGCGACAUAGCUCUGAUGGAGUCCGUCUGCGGUUUUCAGCCCGUGCAUGACUAAGUUUGUCACGUCCGAAUAGGUGGCCGUCGUCGCGUGUCGAGGCACAUCCUCGAGAUCCGUAGAUUGAUCUAGUAUGUCCUACUUUAUUGUUUAGGUUUUGCUGGAUGUCAUAUGUAUGGCCGUGGGCUAAUUUACCCCUACCUGUGCGAUGAGGCGGGGUGGGCUGGUGUUUGGCGUGAGUUGCCGUUUUCUCCCGACCACUUGGUGGUCCGUCAGCAGCAUUGUAUGAUGGUGGUAUGUAUUCCGGCGCCUCCUCAUCAAACUGAGGUAGCAAUUUGCGCUUUGGGUAGCUUUUGGUUGGGCGCUUGAGGCUGUAUUCUUCGGCUGCUAGGACGUCAGUCCAUUUAUCAUUGAGAAGAUCUUGAUCAGCUUGAAGCUACUGCUUCUUCUUUUUCAGGCUCCUUGCAGUGGCUAUUAGCUGGCGCUUGAAGCGCUCCUGCUCAAGAGGUUCCUCAGGCAUGAUGAAAUAGUCGGUGCUGAAGCUCACCUCAUCCUCGGAGAGGGGAAGAUAACUUCCAUCCUCUGAGUCUUCAUGCGUGGCCUGUUUACCAAGGCUAACCUGCCCAUCUCCCCGUUCAUCUUGUUCAUUAGUUGUUUCAACGGGGUCUUCGUUGUCUUCGGCACCUUCUCUAGUGUUAUCUUCUCCUGUGCCGCUAUUGCUAUCUUUACUGCGGCGUGACUUAGAGCGGCGCCGCUGACGCCGGCGCUUGGAUUGUAUUUCAGAAGGUAUAUCCUCGACUGGAUCUUCCUUGUCAUCGCCGCUGUUCUCCUUUGGUGCAUCCACCAUGUAUACAUCAUACGAGGAAGUGGCCGUCCAGCGUCCGGUGAAUGGCGGGUUCUGGGCCUCUUCUUCUCCGGCAUCGUCGUCCAUACUGUUGAUGCCCUCGGAGUCGUAAUCAUGUGUGUCUGUUAAAUCCUCGACUGUGGCUAUGAAGUGGGUGGCGGGUGGGGAGCAAAAUUCUCCAUCGUCAGCCCCUAGUUCGAACCGGAUAUAGUUCAGUUUUGAUUCCUCCAUCAAGGCAGGUUCUUUAAUGAGUUUAGCAUGUUGCCCAAAGGUGAGUGCUAGAAGAUGUCUGCGGCGCUGAAUUCGAAGAUCGAUAAACGAUCAAGUUCGGCGUCCGCGGGCUCACAUGGUUUGGAACUUACGGCCGGAAACGAGUCCGGAGUUCCGGUGGCACAGGUAUCGUGUGAGAUCAAGUCUAUGUGCGGCUCCAAUGCCGCAGAAUCUCUGGCCUCCGCGGUGGGGUCGAUCCUCCCAUCCUUGGAUGGCGAAGUCUACUCUGGAUCUAAGGUCAGAGCGGUUAUGGGAGCUGUGUCCUGGAUGCAGUCCGAUGACAGAUUUAGGUCAUGUCCCUCGAGGUGACAAGGAGUGGUAGUCGUGGUCUCGAAUCUAGCGAGGAUCAAGUCUCCAUGGAUGUCUGCAACGUAGUUCAAGCUCCCCAAUCUAACCUGAUGGCCAAGGGUGUAGCUUUCGAUCUGCUCCAGAUGGCCAAGUGAGUUGGCCCGCAGAGCAAGGCCGCCGAACAUGAAGAUCUGCCCGGGGAGGAAAACUCCCCCUUGGGCAUCAUCGUUGUAGAUGGUUGAAGGAACCAUCGAACCUCUUGAUGACAGCACAGUGGAACUCUCAAUGAAAGCACCAAUGUCGGUGUCAAAACCGGCGGAUCUCGGGUAGGGGGUCCUGAAAUGUGCGUCUAAGGUCGGUGGUAACAGGAUACAGGGGACACAAUGUUUUACCCAGGUUCGGUCCCUCUCUAUGUAGGUAAUACCCUAUGUCCUGCUUGAUUGAUCUUGAGGAAUAUUAGUAUUACAAGAGUUAAUCUACCACGAGAUCGUAACGGCUAAACCCUAGAGGUCUAGCAUGUAUGGUUAUGAUAGUGUCUCUCACUCUGGACUAAGUCCUCCGGUUUAUAUAGACACCAGGAGGAUCUAGGGUUACAGAAGGUUGCUUACAAAGAAAGGAAUAUACAUAUUUAGUCGCCAAGCUUGCCUUCGACACCAAGGAGAGUACCAUCCGGACAUGGGUGCGAUCUCUGGUCUUCAUAUCUUCACAGCCCAUCAGUCCGGCCCAUGGUUAACAAGCCGGAUGCCCAAAGACCCCUUAGUCCAAGACUCCCUCAGCAGGUAGUCGCCUGGUUGUUCCACCGGUCAUAGGCGGGCGUCUUAGUCGCACUCGAUGGUGAUGUGCGUCCGGCUGCAACUGGCAGCCGGCUCCUUGUCCCGUCGUCCGCGGUCGCCGCUAGUCGGUGUCCGGGACGUCGUCCCAUGCUCCUGGCAGGGUGGCGGGUCAUUUUGCGCCGAUUGAGUUCCUCGACGCGGCAGCCGGCUUCUUGCUGCUUGGCAGCGGCAUCAAUGAGCUGCUGGAUGGGCUCCGUCAUGUGGCGACACUCGUCGCCCUUGAGGUUGUCCAGCUCGUCUGCUGCCGCUUGGGCAGCUCGUAUGUUCUCUCUGGGCGUGGCGUAGACGGGGCGAUCAGCCCCGAACAUGCUAGCAACGGUCGCGUCGCGCUGCCGGACCUAGCCGAUGCGGCUGCGUCUGCCAGGAGUCGGCGUGCCGCCAACUGCGUUGUUCAUUUCGUGCUGGUAAGCCUCCGAAAGGCGUCUCAUGCUGGCUAGCUUCUUGGCGCUCUCGACAAGCUGGAUGCGGCGGGCUUCCGGCAUCUCGGUGUCAGCAUCUUCUGCGAUGGGUGCAGAUAGGUCUUGCAGUGCUUCCUCGAGCGGGUCUCGCGCACCGUUACCGGGAACUCCAUCAUGGCUGAUGACGAGCACCUCUAUGACGGUGCUGCCACCGCUGUCGUCGCGGGGGACAGGAUCAUCAAUAACCACCAUGUUGGUAGGGAACGCGUCGAGUGAUGCCGUGUCGGAGUCGACGAGCAUCGGGUCAGUGGAGCCAACCGACUCCAAGUCGACGGCCGGCUCGUCGGCGACGUUCAGCCGGUCGAGGAAGCUGACGAGGCGGCUCCCGGUGCCGUCAGCGCCUGUGUCGGAUGCAGGCCCGUCGGAGAGGUGGAUCUCGCUAACAAGGUGAGCGAGGCAGCUUGCCGCGCAGGCGACCUCCGCCACAAGCAACGCAUCAGUGCAAACGCCAUCCGGUGUGCCUGGCUGGCUGCGCUCGGCAGGGAGGAAGAGGGUUCCUGUCCAGAACAGAUCUCUGGACGACGUUGCACCUUGCCCCACGGUGGGCGCCAAAUGUCGUGGGGUUGGGUGCGACAUAUGCCAAAGGAUGGCUUAUCAUGGUGGGAUCUAGUAGAACGUUGCUGGUGCCCGGAAGCAGGAUGAGGCGUAGACACGAACGCUGGCGUACUUUACCGUGGUUCAGGGCUCUCCUAGGAGAUAAUACCCCUAGUCCUGCUCAGCGGGGUCUCCGCAUGAUCACUAAGGCACUAGUGAGUACGUUGGUGCACCUCGAGCUAUAUGCUAGAGGUAGGAGAAAGUAGGGCUAGUUCUCUCCUCUCUCUGAAUGUGUCUAGGUCUAACAGGUUGGGAACCCUUUGCAUGGGUGCUCUGGGGGGCUUAUAUAGGCCUACCCCUAGGGAUACAAUGGUAAUCCAGCCGGGUGUAGGACCCCGUUGUCAGUGUCUCUGGUCGCCGGCUUCUCCGCCGGCUGUGGGGGCCCACCGCCUGGUGGGCCCCAUACACCGGUCUAGUAUGGGGCCGACGGGCCGCUCCCGCCCCUCGCGGGUUCUGCCGGCUGCUUGUUACUAUUAUCGUAAUGCUUAUAACGCACACUUGGUCGGGGAGGCGUGGCUACAGUCCCACCAUCUGGUGGGAGAUCACUAUAGCCACUCCGUGUCUCAUCUGGUUAACGGUGCACGGACUCCGAGGGAGGAGUGGGCCGUCUGCUAGAGGCCAGCCUCCCUCGGGUCUAUCUGGUCAGGCUCCGCCAUCUUCCGGGUUCUCGCUGCCUGGUAGGGCCCACCGCCUGCAGGCUGUACCUACAGGCCGUCGUGGGAGCAGGGCUCCGCCUGACAGGGGUGACGUCAAGGGUGGAGUGGAAAUAGUGUCACGCCGUGCGGAGAUCUCCGCCUGUAUGGGGCACUGUGGUCGCGCCGUGCCCUAGAUAUGGAGAUGAUGGGCUACACUGUAGCCACAUCCUAUUUUGUCUUCUUAAUGGGGGCAGACUUUGUGGGCUUCAUGGGCCGCCUACUAGGAGCUGGCCUCUCUAGAGGCCGCCUGCUAGGAGUUGGCCCGUCUUGGGGCCGUCUUCAGGUGUGUGGCCGUGUUCUGGCAGCCAGCCGCUUGAUCCAGCCGGCCACCAGAAGGCGGUGCUCCAUCCUGGGCGUUUGAGGGGCGUAUCCGGCCCCGAUUUCUUGAAAUGCUUGGGGACUCAGGUUAGGAUACCCGUGGCCCAUUACUCUGACGCAUCAUGGAGAGAAUAGUGAGAGAGCGAACCACCAAAAAGAGAGUGAGCGCUACAAGCCCAACUCGAGUGCCUCCAUGAUGAGCGAGAAGAAGAACUUAGUUCUCUUUGUUACCAAAAGUGAGAUAAGAGGAGUGUGUGAGAACCCAUCUAGUGUCCUACUCUAUGUCCUUUUGUGCAAGGACGAUGCACCAAAAGCUAACACCUCUCACGCUCUACCUUUAGUGUUGUCUUCUCUUUUGCAGGAAUUUCAAGAUGUUUUCCCCGACGAGCUACCUCCGGGACUACCUCCACUACGAGGCAUCGAGCACCGCAUCGACCUCAUCCCCGGAGCACCUCUUUCGAACAAAGCUCCCUACCGUGUCAACCCCAAAGAAACCAAAGAAAUACAAAGGCAAGUAAAUCAUCUCAUAGACCAUGGACAUGUGCAUGAAAGUUUGAGUCCUUGUGCCGUUCCGGUCAUUCUUGUGCCAAAACGAGACGGUAGCUUUCGCAUGUGCUCCGAUUGUAGACCUAUUAAUGCUAUCACCAUUCACUAUAGGUAUCCCAUUCCACGCCUUGAUGAUAUGCUUAAUGAACUUAGUGGUGCCACUAUCUUUUCAAAAAUUGAUCUUAAAAGUGGUUACUAUCAAUUCCACAUAGAAGAUGGUGAUGAAUGGAAAACCGCUUUCAAAACAAAGUUUGGCUUGUAUGAGUGGUUAGUCAUGCCUAUGGGUCUAUCGGAAGCACCGGGUACUUUUAUGCAUCUUAUGAAUCAUGUCUUUUGCCCUUACAUUAGUGAGUUUGUUGUGGUAUACUUCUCUGAUAUACUUGUUUAUAGCAAAUCUCUUAAAGAUCAUGUCACCCAUGUUCGAACAGUUUUGCUAACUCCUCUAAAAGAGCAUCUCUAUGCUAACAUGGACAAGUCCCUUUUUGGCAUUGAUAAGCUCUUUUUCUUGGGUUUUGAUGUUUCCUCUAAGGGUGUUCAUGUUGAUGACUCUAAGAUCAAUGCUAUUAAAACUUGGCCCCAACCAACCAAUUUGCAACAAGUGCGUAGUUUCCUUGGUCUAGCCAGUUUCUAUCAUAGAUCUGUGAAGGACUUUAGCACCAUUGCUUCACCUUUGCAUGCUUUGAGCCAAAAAUGUGCCUUUGUUUGGCGACCAUCCCAAGAUACCGCUUUCAAUGAGCUGAAGAAUUUGCUUACUCAUGCUCCCAUGCUUGCAUUACCCAACUUUGACAAGCCCUUUGAGAUUCAUUGUGAUGCUAGUGGUAAUGGCAUAGGAGGUGUGUUAACGCAAGACAAGCGCCCCAUAGCUUACUUUAGUGAGAAACUUUCUGGAGCGCAACUCAAUUACCCCAUCUAUGACAAAGAGUUAUAUGCUUUAGUGCGAGUUUUGCAUGAAUCGGAACACUAUCUUCGCCCUCAUGAAUUCAUCAUUCAUACCGAUGAUGAAACGCUCAAAUACGUUAAGGGUCAAACCAAGUUGAAUAAGCGUCAUGCUAAAUGGAGUGAAUUCACUGAGUCUUUUCCUUAUGUCAUCAAGUACAUCAAAGGUAAGGAAAAUGUUGUGGCGGGUGAUCUUUCCCGCAUAUGCAUGCUUGUUACUCAACUUGAAUUGGAUGUCAUUAGCUUUGAGCACAUAAAAGACUUGUAUGAGCAUGAUCCUACUUUUUCUAUUCCUUAUGCCAAAUGUUUGACGCAUACCUCUUGGGAACGCUAUUACAUCAAAGAUGGAUAUCUUAUGAGAGCUAACAAGCUUUUCAUCCCUGAGACUUCUCUUCGAUUGUUGCUUUUGCAGGAAUCUCAUGGAGGAGGACUAAUGGGACAUUUUGGACGCGACAAGACUUUUGCUACGCUCUCCAAGAAUUACUAUUGGCCCAAGAUGUUUCGCGAUGCCAACCGCUUCACCAACCGAUGCUCUACAUGUCGCAAAGCUAAGUCUAACGCUCAAUCCCGUGGCCUUUACAUGCCUCUCCCUAUUCCAUAUCAACCAUGGGAAGAAUUUAGCAUGGAUUUUGUACUUGGAUUGCCUAGGACUAGAAAUGGAAAUGAUUCGGUAUUUGUCUUUGUGGACUGUUUCUCUAAGAUGGCACAUUUCAUUCCUUGCAACAAGAUGGAUGAUGCUUCACAUGUUGCCAAUCUCUUUUGUAGGGAAAUAUUGCGUCUACAUGGAGUGCCAAAGACGAUCAUCUCGGACCGCAACGUCAAGUUCCUAAGCUACUUUUGGUAGACCCUAUGCAACAAGCUUGGAAUCAAGCUACUCUUCUCCAUGGCGUAUCAUCCACAAACCGACGGUCAAACGGAGGUGACCAACCGCACACUGUCUGCUCUACUUUGCGUGCUCAUCAAGAAGAACAUCAAGGAGUGGGAGGAGUGUCUACCUAUCGCCGAGUUCGCCUACAACCGCGCAAGACACUCAACAACCGGCAAGUCACCCUUCGAGGUCGUCUACGGAUUCAACCGAUUGUCCCCAUUGGCCAUUCUUCCUCUACCACUACAAGAGUGCAUCAAUAUGGACACAAGUGCACGUGUGAACCAUCUCAAGAAAGUGCAUGAAGAUACAAGGCACACCAUCGAGCGCCAAGUACAACGAGUUGCGACCAAGCUCAACAUCAACAAGCAACCCAUGGUAUUCGGCAUUGGUGAUCUUGUGUGGCUACACCUUCGCAAAGACCACUUACCCACCGAACGCAAGUCCAAGCUUCUACCUCGAGAGGAUGGACCCUUCAAGGUGCUCGCACGCUACAACAACAACGCUUACAAGAUCAACCUCCCGCGCGACAAGUACAACGUGAGCGACAUCUUCAAUGUCAAGGACCUCUCUCCCUACAUGGUGAUGAAGAAUUUGAUCUGAGGUCGAAUCUUCCCCAAGGGAGGGGAGAUGAUGUGGAGCAUCCCAAGGUCAUCUCCAUGGACCUACCAUCGUCUCACCAAGUGCCUAGCGGACCCAUGACACGAGCACGUGCAAGAGCUCUCGAAACCGAGGUGAACUCACUCCUCUCCGAACUACCACUUUCUAUGCAUGAGACCUGGCUACUACCUCAAGCGGAAACCCUAUGUGUGAUUAGGAACUUGGAGGAAAGCCACGGACAAGACGGUGAGGACGCCAAGCUCAAUAGACAAGCAGAAGGGCAGCUCGAAGCUCCCAGGCUCCGGACGACCGGCGAAUCUCGGACGUUUGACGAUCUCUAGGAACCGGACGUCCGACCUUCUCCGGACAACCGACACACCCACACCUGAGCCAAAACUACGGAUUUCCGAAGCCCUCUGGACGACCGACGGCCCGGACGCCUGACCCUGACCGGACGUCUGACCGAAGACCACCCGAGCCGAAUCUACAGUCGUCCGACGAGCACCGGACGUCCGAACCCUUGUGAGUCUCCGGACGACCGGUAACUCCCGGACGUCCGACGCCUGUGUGCUUUUUGUGUGUUGGGACACAGCCCAUGUACCCUUUCGCCCACAUAUACUAUAUAUACUCUUCUCCUACCUACAUUUUAGGGUUAGCAUUGGUUUAGCUCAUACUUGAGAUAGAGCUUUGCUCAUCCACAUCGGAUCUACUCCAUGAGAGAAACCGUGGCCCCUCUUAGGAGAAGAUCCCUUUGGAUUCAAGAUCUCCUUGUGGAGAAGACAUCAAGACCUCCUCACGGAGAAGAUCGUGCUACUUGAAUCGUACUUAGUUGACCGUGGAUCAUGUGAUCUCUUAUGUACUCGGGGAUCUAGCAUAUGUGUGACUAUAUCUUGUUGGUUUAGUGUUUCUCUCAUGUUUCCCCUUGUGUUUCCCCUCGUGUUCUUCGUGUUCAUCGCGGGAUCCGCUCCUUUCAUGAAAGAUCGGCCCCUAAGGUUCCUACCCUACAUCAAUUUGCCUGGCAAUCAACAGGAUCACCCGCUUGAAAGCUAUCGGGCUAACCAUCGAGCAUGUGGGGGGCGAUUUUCUCCUUCGUUGCAUCUCGCCACUACAGAAGAGGGACAGACCCGCUGGUUAUAUGGCGAUGCUGGGGAUAGGAUGAGAUUGCUCCUAGGUUUGGCCAAUAACCUGUUGGUUUAUGGCCAUGCCUGGUUGUGUGAUCAGCUGUUUGGCCGGUUCGAGUUAUUCAAGCUGCCGGGGAGUGUCAUCCCCCUUAAUAUUAAUUCUGCCCGGGACCAAAUCUUGAAGUGGAUGCCGGAUUGCAAUGCUCAUGGGGUGGCAAGUGAUUGAUACGUCUCCAUCUUAUCUACUUUUCCAAACUCUUUUGCCCUUGUUUUGGACUCUAAUUUACAUGAUUUCAAUGGAAGUAACCCAGACUGACGUUGUUUUCAGCAGAAUUGUCAUGGUGUUAUUUUUGUGCAGAAAUAAAAGUUCUUAGAAUGACCUGAAACUUCAUGGAGAUCAGUUUUGGAAUAAAUAAAAAAUAUUGGCGAAAGAAUCAACCGAAGAGGGAUCACACCUUGGUCACAAGGGUGGAGGGAGAGGCCACCCCCUAAGGCGCGCCAUCUGUCCUUGUGGGGCCGCUAGACCUCGACCAACCUCAACUCCAACUCCAUAUAUUCACAUUCGAGGAGAAAAAAAAUCAGGGAGAAAGAUUCAUCGCGUUUUACGGUAUAAAGCCUCUGCCAAGCCCUGUUCUUCCUCGGGAGGGCAGAUCUGGAGUCCUCUUUGGGCUCUGGAGAGGGGGAAUCAUCGCCAUCGUCAUCAUCAACCAUCCUCCAUCACCAAUUUCAUGAUGCUCACUGCUAUGCAUGAGUAAUUCCAUUGUAGGCUUGCUGGACGGUGAUGGGUGAUAUGUCUCCAACGUAUCUAUAUUUUUUUGUUCCGUGUUGUUAUAUUAUCAUUCUUUGAUGUUUUACAAUCAUUUUAUAGCAACUUUAUAUCAUUUUUGGGACUAACCUAUUAACAUAGUUCCCAGUGCUAGUUGUUGUUUUUUCUUGUUUUUUACAUCGCAGAAAAUCAAUAUCAAAUGGAGUCCAAACGCAGCAAAACUUUUUGGAGAUUUUUUUGAACCAGAAGGCAUCCAAUGGGUCGAAGAAGUAACAGAGAGUGCCCUAAGGGGGGCACAACCCACCUGGGCGCGCCUGGAGGCCCAUGCGUGCCCUAGUGGGUUGUUCCCACCUCGGUGGCCUCCCGCACUGCCUCUUCGCCCUAUAAAUUCCCAAAUAUUCCAAAAACCCUUGGGGUAACCCUAGAUCAAAAUUUCUGCCGCCCCAAGGCUCUGUAGCCACAAGAAACCAAUCUAGACCCUGUUCCUGCACCCUACCGGAGGGGGAAUCAUCACCGGUGGCCAUCUUCAUCAUCUCGGCGGCCACCAUGAUGAGGAGGGAGUAGUCCACCCUUGGGGCUGAGGGUUUCUACCAGUAGCUAUGUGUUUAAUCUCUCUCUUUUGUGUUCUUGAGAUGUCACAAUCUUGAUGUAUCGCAGGCUUUGUGAAUAUAGUCAGAUCAUAUGGUGUUUUCCCCUCUCUAUAAUGUUGUGAUGAUUUGAGUUUUCCCUUUAAAUUUUCAUUUUAUCGGAUUCAAUACUUUUAUGGAUUUGAGAGCACUUGAUAUAUGUCUUGCAAAUGAAUAUGCGUGGUUACAUUAGGGUAUCAUAUUGAUUCACUUGAUGUAUGUUUGGCACUCAACUCGUGGAUUCCCGAGGUGACAUUGGGGUAAUCUUUGCAUAGGGAUUGAUGCACGUUCUUGUCUUUGUUUCUCCAAUAGAAAUCUUGGGGCACUCUUUGAGGUUCUUUGUGUUGGAUUGAGUAUUAUGAAUCUGAAAUUAUUUGGUGUUAUUUUAGUACGAACUCUUGGAUAGAUAAAUCGGAAAGAAUAGCUUCGAGGUGGUUUCGUGCCCUACGAACGAUGUCUUCUUAUGUUCUCCGCUAGAUAGGAACUUUGGAGUGAUUCUUCAUUACACUUUGAGGGAUGGUUAUAUGAUCCAAUUAUAUUAGCAUUGUUGAGAGAUUACACUAGUGAAAGUAUGGACCCUAGGCCUCAUUUUAAAGCAUUGCAAUACCAUUUUUAUCAAUUGCUACCUUGCUGUUUUUAUUGUUCUUAUUACAAAAAUCAAUAUCUACUAUCAUUACUACGCUUGUAUCACCCCCUCUCUUCGUCGAACUAGUGUGCCUAUACAAAUUACCAUUGUAUUUGGUGUGUUGUGGACACAAGAGACUUUUUAUUAUUUACUUGCAGGGUUGUUUGAGAGAGACCAUCUUCAUCCUACACCUCCCAUGGAUUGAUAAACCUUAGGUCAUCCACUUGAGGUAAAAUUGCUACUGUCCUACAAAACUCCGCGCUUGGAGGCCCAACACAAGUCUACAAGAACAAGUUGUGUAGUAGACAUCAAGCUCUUUUCUGGCGUUGUUGCCGGGGAGGUGAGUGCUUGAAGGUAUAUCUUUAGAUCUUGCAAUAGAAUCUUUUAGUUUCGUGUUUUAUCACUAGUUUGGUUUAUAAAAAUAAAAUUCCACAAAAAUGGAAUUGAGGUGGUCUCAUAUUAUUCGUCUUUAUAAUGUCUUUCAUAAAAAUGAUGGAAAGGAAAAUUGUACACAAUUGAUAGAAGAGGAAUUCUAUAAAAUGUUUGGCACAAAAUAUUUUAAUGAUGAGCAUGAUUGCAAUGUUGUUGGAAUGAAUUCUUUGAAUAUCCAUGAUGCUAAUGAUAUGCCAAGCCAUAAGCUUGGGGAUGCUAUAUUUGAUGAAGAUGAUAUUUUUAGUCCCCCAAGAUUUGAUGUGCAAAUUAGUUAUAAUAAUUGCAUGCCUCCUAUUUAUGAUGAUUAUAAUGAUGAAAGUUGAUUUGGAGAGGUCAUGAGUUUAUUUAGUGAUGAAUCCACCAUUUUGGAUGAGGCUUCAAUUGACUAUGAUAACAAAGUUGCUAUCUAUGAUGAUUAUGGUGAUGACAUGUAUGCAAUUUUGAAUAAUGAUAACCAUGAAACUUGUCAUCAUGAUCUUAAUUUUCAAUCCCAUGAUAGUUAUUUUGUUGAGUUUGCUCCCACUACUAUUGAUGAGAAGAAAUUUCGUUCUGUGGAGAGUAAUAAGUUUUCUAUGCUUUUGUGUCAUGAAAAGAAUGCUUUAUGUGAUGGUCAUAUUGUUUAAUAUCUUCAUGAUGCUACUAAAAAUUAUUAUGAGGGAAGAACUUAUGCUUAUAGGAAUUGCAAUAAUAUCAAGUUUCCUCUCUAUGUGUUGAAAAUCUUGAAGUUAUGUUUGGUUUACCUUCAUAUGCUAGUUGAUUCUUGUUCCCAUAAAUUGUUUGAUCACAAAAUCCCAAUGCAUAGGAAGUGGGUUAGACUUAAAUGUGGUUGACAUGUGCUUCAUGAUGCUCUCUUUGUGUUUCAAUUCUUUACUUUUAUGUGAGCACCAUUCAAAUCAUCAUGCCUAGCUAAAAGGCAUUAAAGAAAAGCGCUUGUUGGGAGACAACCCAACACUUUUACCUACUGUUUUUGUGUUAACACAAUUAGGAUACUAUAGUAAUCAUGUUUUAUAGCUUUUGUUUCAAUAAAGUGCCAAGUAAAGCCUUUGGGAUAGUGUGGAUAAUAGUUGACUUAAAUCUGUGCAAAAAUAGAAACUUUUGCGCUCAGUCCAGGAAUUUUCAAAUUCACUGGAACAUGCUUUUGAUAUGAAUUUUUUAUAGGUGAUAGAUAUAUAAAUUCCCUACAUUUUCCUAAUUUUUCAGAAUUUUUGGAGUAUUAUAAGUAUGGUUGUUUUCCAGAUCAUUACAGACUGUUCCGUUUUUGACAGAUUCUGUUUUCAAUGCAUAGUUUGCUUGUUUUCUAGUUUCUAUGGCUUAUAUUGCUCAAUAUAAAUUGUGGAAAUGAUAUGCCGCAGUAGGCAUUGUGUGGAAACAAUUAUGAAUCUUGUCUUUGUUAGUACCAAAGUGAAAUAGUUUUAUCUUUAUCAUACUAACCUAUCUCAUGAAGUUCCAUUAAGUUUUGUGUGAUUGAAGUUUCAAGUUUUGGGUGAGACAUCGAUAUGAGGAAAAUAAGGAGUGACAAGACCCUAAGCUUGGGGAUUCCCAGGGUACCCCAAGUAAAUAUCCAAGGAAGAUUCAAACAACUAAGCUUGGGGAUGCCUCGGAAGGCAUCCCAUCUUUCGUCUCCAGCAUUAUCGGUAACCUCACUUGGAGCUACAUUUUUAUUCGUCACAUGAUAUGUGUUUUGCUUGGAGCAUAAUUUUAUUUUAUUAGGAUUUGCUUGCUGUUAUUUAGAAUAAUGUUUUGCAUCUUUCAUUUUGAUACGUCUCCAAUGUAUCUAUAAUUUUUUAUUGUUCUAUGUUGUUUUAUUACCAAUCUUGGAUGUUUUAUAAUCAUUUUAUAUCAUUUUUGGUACUAACCUAUUGACAUAGUGCCAAGUGCCAGUUGUUGUUUUUUCCAUGUUUUUUACAUCAUAGAAAAUCAAUAUCAAACGGAGUCCAAAUGCCACAAAACUUUACGGAGACUUUUUAUGGACCAGAAGGAAGAUGUUGGGCCCUGGUUGCACCUGGGGGGAGUCCCGAGGAAGGGACAACCCACCAAGGCGCGCUAGGAGGCCCAAGCGCGCCCUGGUGGGUUGUUCCCACCUCGAGUGCCCCCCGGACCGCCUCUUUGCUCAAUAAAUACCCAAAAAAUCCCAGAACCCUAGGGGAGUCGACAAAAUAUUCAUCUAGCCGUCGCAGAGUCCAGAACCACCAGAUUUAAUCUAGACACCAUCAUGGAGGGGUUCACCACUUCCAUUGGUGCCUCUCCGAUGAUGCGUGAGUAGUUCUUUGUAGACCUUCAGGUCCGUAGUUAGUAGCUAGAUGGCUUCAUCUCUCUCUCUUUAUUCUCAAUACAAUGGUCUCUUGGAGAUCCAUAUAAUGUAACUCUUUUGCGGUGUGUUUGUUGGGAUCGAUGAACUUUGAGUUUAUGAUCAGAUCUAUCUUUUUAUAUCCAUGAAAUUAUUUGAGUUUCUUUGAUCUCUUUUAUGCAUGAUCUCUUAUAGCCUCACAUUUCUUCUCCGAUAUUUGGGUUUUGUUUGGCCAACUUGAUAUAUUUAUCUUGCAAUGUGAAGAGGUGCCCGGUACUGGGUUCGAUCUUACGGUGCUUGAUCCCAGUGAUAGAAAGGGAACUGACACGUAUGUAUCAUUGCUACUAAGGAUAAAAAGAUGGGAUCUAUAUCUACCGCCAUAGAUAAACAGAUCUUGUCUACAUCAUGUCAUCGUUCUUAUUGCAUUACUCCAUUUUUGCAUGAACUUAAUACACUAGAUGCAUGCUGGAUAGAGGUCGAUGUGUGGUGUAAUAGUAGUAGAUGCAGGCAGGAGUCGGUCUACUAAUCUUGGAUGUGAUGCCUAUGUAAUGAUCAUUGCCUGGAUAUCGUCAUAAUUAUUUCAAGUUCUAUUAAUUUCCCAAUAGUAAUUUGUUUACCCACCGUUUGCUAUUUUUCUCGAGAGAAGACACUAGUGAAACCUACGGCCCCCAGGUCUUCUUUCUCAUAUAUUUGCCUUUGCGGUCUAUUUUUCUCUUGCAUUUAUUUUCAGAUCUAUUAAUCCAAAAACACAAAAAUACUUUGUUGCACUUUAUUUUAUUUGCGGUCUAUUUAUUCGAUCUAUCACAAUUUUCUCCCGUCCACACACCGUUUGAGGUGUCGUUACCCGAAAGGGAUUGACAACCCCUUUAACACGUCGGGUUGCGAGGUGUUGUUAUUUGUGUGCAGGGGCUGUUUACGUUGUGUUGCUUGGCUCUCCUACUGGUUCGAUAACCUUGGUUUCAUAUCUGAGGGAAAUACCUACCGCCACUGUGCUGCAUCAUCCCUUCCUCUUUGGGGAAAUACCGACGUACCUUCAAGUGACAUCAAAAGGAAUUUCUGGCGCCGUUGCCGGGGAGGGAUUGACAACCCCUUUAACAUGUCGGGUUGCGAGGUGUUGUUAUUUGUGUGAAGGGGUUGUUUACGUUGUGUUGCUUGGUUCUCCUACUGGUUCCAUAACCUUGGUUUCAUAUCUGAGGGAAAUACCUACCGCCGUUGUGCUGCAUCAUUCCUUCCUCUUUGGGGAAAUACCGACGUAGCUUCAAGAGACAUCACAUUUCAAUAAAAAUGUCAUGGAUAGCCUUCACCAUGCUUAUUUUGCAAGUAUAUGAGUUGUUGUUUCAAAACAGAAAGUUUAUCGAUGUUGCAAAAAUUCCUGAGCAAAGUUAGAAUGUGAUAAAAUGUUGAAAUGUUUUGCACAGUAAGCUCUAAUAAAUUUUCUACAUUGUGGUAAAUUUUCACAUUUUUUGGAGUUAAAGAAGUAUUGAUACUCUUGCAUUCUUUACAGACUGUACUAUUUUGGCAGAUUGCUGUUAUGUUUGCAUUGUUUGCAUAUGUUUGUUUGUUUAAUGAUUCUAUAUGAGGAUAGGAGUAUUAAAUAUGAAAAGGCAUUUAGUAUGAAAUGUUGAAUAAUAAUUUUAGUGAUUUGCUACAGUAUAGAAUGAUAUGGUUUUUUCAUUGGUUUAUACUAACUUAUCUCACGAGUUCUUGUUGAGUUUUGUGUGGAUGAAGUUUUUAAAAUUUAGGGAAACCGUGAUAUAAAAGGAAUUAAGGAGACACAAAAGCUCAAGCUUGGGCAUGCCCAAGGCAGACCAAGAUAAUAUUUCAAUAAGACUCAAGCAUCUAAGCUUGGGGAUGCUCCGGUGGGCAUCCCACCUUUCUUCAUCAAUAAUUAUUGGUUAGUAUCAGUUGAGCCUAAGUUUUUGCUUCUUCACAUGAAUUGUGCUAUUCUUGGAACAUCAUUUUGUUUUGUUUUACUUGUUGUUUUAAUAAAAUACUUAGAUCUGAAAGUUUUUAAAUAAGAGAGAGUCCUCAAAUAGCUACCCAUUUACUUAACUACUUGUUUGAUCUUCACUUAUAUGUUUUUGGAGUAGUUUGCCAUUCGCUCUCAUGCUUCACUUAGAUUAUUUUGAAAGAUGAAAAUUUGUAUGCUCAUGUUCUUCACUUAAAUUUAUUUGAGCUUGUCAAAAGCAAUUGCAACGUAUGAAACUAGUCACAAAGUGAUAGAUAUUCAAGAGGGAUAUAAUAAAAACUUUCAUGAAGAUCAUUCGACAAAUUAAACUUGAUUUUUUGUAAUAGUUUUGAGAUAUGAUGAUAGUGAUAUGUGAGUCAUGUUGGUGAGUAAUUAUGCUUUAGUAAGAAUAUUGAAGUUAAGCUUUUUGAUUCCCUAUGCAAGCACGAAAGUCAAUAGUUAUGCUAUGAAAUUACAUCCUACUUGUGGUGCAUUAUUUGGUGUUAGUUAUGUUUAAUGCUCGCUUAUGAGAUAUUUCGUUUCUUGGUUGGAUGCUUCUCAACAUUUUUGCUAGCCUUAGCUUGUACUAAGUAGGAAUACUACUUGUGCAUCCAAAAUCCUUAAACCCAAUGUUUCCAUAUGAGUCCACUAUACCUACCUAUAUGCGGUAUUCCAAUGUUGUUCUAAGCAAAUUUGUAAGUGCCAUCUCUAAAAUUUCAAAAUAAUUUCCUUUUUGUGUGCUCAUACCGCUCAUGAAGCGGCAGGGGGUGCCCAAUAUGUGUUAUUAUCAAGAUGAGUGUUUAUUCACUUGUCAUUGCAUGAGAGUAGGGCAAAGGUAUUAGAGAUGCCCAGUCCCGAAAUGAAAAAGAAGUUUACUUUAUAUUGUCAAAUAAUAAAUUCGUUGGGAAGUGUUGGUAUGGAGGGCACCUGUGGAUAUGGCUAGCCAUGGAUUGUGAAAGAAUGGUGGAACAAGGAAUAAACUUUAUUUUCGGUUUGGGAACCACCUAUGAUAUAUCUACCAUGGAAAGUGUUGCGAAUUACUCGGUCAUUUUUGUUGACGGGAAAAGUAUGCCUCCCAAAAUCUUUAUCUCUCCAUUUAAGCUUUGAGCUCUGGCACCUCCACAAAUCCCUACUUCCCUCUGCAAAGGGCCUUUCUAUUUACUUUAUGCAAUUUUUAUUUUUAUUUGAGUCUCCAUCUUCUCUUAUAAGCACCAACUAAGGGGCACUAUGGUCGUACUUGAGCAUUGGAUGUAGCUAAUAUGCGAGUGUGUUUCAUGAAUGGAUCAAUGAUUGAGCAUGACGGGCUAGGGAUAACUUGCUUGAGUGUUGAUAUUUUGAAAGACAUGGUUGCUUGUUGAUAUGCUUGAGUAUUGAAAUCUUCAUUUCAAAACUAGACUAUUGCUUUAAACCAUAUAAAAGUCCAUAUGUCCAUGCUACACAAGAAAAGAAUGUGAUAAACAUGAUAGGAAGCAUUCCACAUCAAAAAUUCUAUUUUUAUCAUUUACCUACUCGAGGACGAGAAGGAAUUAAGCUUGGGGAUGUUGAUACGUCUCUAAUGUAUCCAUAAUUUUUUAUUAUUCCAUGCUGUUAUAUUAUCAUUUUUGGAUGUUUUACAAUCAUUUUAUUGCAACUUUAUAUCAUUUUUUCGGACAAACCUAUUGACAUAGUGCCUAGUAUCAGUUGUUAUUUUCUACUUGUUUUUACAUCAUAGAAAAUCAAUACCAAAUGGAGUCCAAAUGUAGAAAAACUUUUUGAAGAUUUUUUUGGACCAGAAGACAUGCAAUGGGCCGAAGAAGUACCAGAGGGGUGCCUCGAGGGAGGCACAACCCACUUGGGCACGCUUGGAGCCCAGGCGCGCCCUGGUGGGUUGUGGCCACCUCGCGGCCUCCCGCACCGCCUAUUCGCCCUAUAAAUUCCCAAAUAUUCCAAAAACCCUCGGUGUAACCCUAGAUCUGAAGUUCCGCCGCCUCAAGGCUCUGUAGCCACAAGAAAUCAAUCUGGACCCGUUCCGGCACCCUACCAAAGGGGGGAAUCAUCAUCGGUGCCCAUCUUCAUCAUCCCGACGGCCACCAUGAUGAGGAGGGAGUAGUCCACCCUCAUGGCUGAGGGUUUGUACCAGUAGCUAUGUGUUUAAUCUCUCUCUCUCUCGUGUUCUUGAGAUGUCAUGAUCUUUAUGUAUCGUGGGCUUUGUUAAUAUAGUCGGAUCAUAUGAUGUUUUCCCCUCUCUAUCUUGUUGUGAUGAAUUGAGUUUUCCCAUUGAGAUUUCGUUUUAUCGGAUUGAAUACUUUUAUGGAUUUGAGAGCACUUGAUAUAUGUCUUGCAAAUGAAUACUCAUGGUGACAAUGGGGUAUCAUGUUGAUUCACUUGAUAUAUAUUUUGGCAAUCAACUCGCGGAUUCCCAAGGUGGCAUUGGGGUUGAUGCACGUUCUUGUCUUUGUUUCUCCAGUAGAAAUCUUGGGGCUCUCUUGGUGGUUCUUUGUGCUGGAUUGAGUAUUAUAAAUAUGAAAUUAUUUGGUGUUAUUUUAGUAUGAACUCUUGGAUAGAUCGAUCGGAAAGAAUAGCUUCAAGGUGGUUUCGUACCCUACAAACGAUUUCUUCUUACGUUCUCCACUAGAUAGGAACUUCGGAGUGAUUCUUCAUCGCACUUUGAGGGAUGGUUAUAUGAUCCAAUUAUAUUAGCAUUGUUUAAUGAUUUCACUAGCGGAAGUAGAGACCCUAGGCCUCAUUUUAAAGCAUUGCAAUACCGUUUGUGCUCCGUUUUAUCAAUUGCUACCUUGUUGUUUUUUAUUGUUCUUAUUACAAAAAUCAAUAUCUACUAUCCAUAUUACACUUGUAUCACCAUCUCUUCGUCGAACUAGUGCACCCAUACAAAUUACCAUUGUAUUUGGUGUGUUGGGGACACAAGAGACUUUUUAUUAUUUGGUUCCAGGGUUGUUUGAGAGAGACCAUCUUCAUCCUACACCUCCCACAGAUUGAUAAACCUUAGGUCAUCCACUUGAGGGGAAAUUGAUACUGUCCUACAAAACUCUGCGCAUGGAGGCCCAACACAAGUCUACAAGAACAAUUUGUGUAGUAUACAUCAAUGGGUUGGAUGAGAUUUACCAUGUAAUCGAGUUAGUUUUGUUAGGGUUUGAUCCCUAGUAUCUACUAUGUUAUAAGAUUGAUGUUGAUAUGACUUUGCUAUGCCUAAUGCUUGUCUCUAGGGCCCGAGUGCCAUGAUUUCAGAUCUGAACGUAUUAUGUGUUCAUGAAUAUAUUUGUGUUCUUGAUCCUAUCUUGCAAGUUAUAGUCACCUACUACAUGUUUUGAUCCGGCAACCCCGGAGUGACAAUAGUCGGGACACUUCUCAGUGACGACCGUAGUUUGAGGAGUUCAUGUAUUCAUUAAGUGCUAAUGCCUUGGUCUGGUUUCUAUUAAAACGGGCCUUAAUAUCCCUUAGUUUCCACUAGGACCCCGCUGCCAUGGGAGGGUAGGACAAAAGAUGCCAUGCAUGUUCUUUUCCAUAAGCAUGUAUGACUAUAUUGGGAAUACAUGCCUACAUUAUAUUGAUGAAUUGGAGCUAGUUAUGUGUCACCCUAUGUUAUAACUAUUGCAUGAUGAAUGCCAUCUAACAUAAUUAUCCAUCAUUUAUCCAUUUCCUACGAACACAUUUUCGGUGUCAAAACCGGCAGAUCUCGGGUAGGGGUUCCUGAAUUGUGCGUCUAAAGCGGAUGGUAACAGGAGGCGGGGGACACAAUGUUUACCCAGGUUCGGGCCCUCUCGAUGGAGGUAAUACCCUACUUCCUGCUUGAUUGAUCUUGAUGAUAUGAGUAUUACAAGAGUUGAUCUACCACGAGAUGAUAGAGGCUAAACUCUAGAAGCUAGCCUAUGAUUAUGAUUGUUCUUGUCCUACGGACUAAACCCUUCGGUUUAUAUAGACACCAGAGGGGGCUAGGGUUACACAGAGUCGGUUACAAGGGAGGAGAUCUACAUAUCUGAAUUGCCAAGCUUGCCUUCCACGCAAAGGAGAGUCCGACCCGGACACGGGACGAAGUCUUCAAUCUUGUAUCUUCAUAGUCCAACAGUCUGGCCAAAGUAUAUAGUCCGGCUGUCCGAGGACCCCCUAAUCCAGGACUCCCUUAGUAGCCCCUGAACCAGGCUUCAAUGGCGAUGAGUCUGGCACGUAGAUUGUCUUCGGCAUUGCAAGGCGGGUUCCUUCUCCGAAUACUCCAUAGAAGAUUUUGAACACAAGGAUCGUGUCCGGCUCUGCAAAACAAAUUCCACAUACCACCGUAGAGAGUAUAUUAUUCCACAAAUCUAAUCUGCUGACAACUUUUCAUAACGUGAUGUCCUGCCGUGGCCCGGUCAUUACGAACUGUUUUCCCUGUUUGCGAGGCGGUUUUAUUGGCACGUCUUGUCGAAGAAGAGAUCGUGUUCCCCUUAUCACGGGAGUCUCAUCAAUACGGGUGUGGGUAACCCAAUCAUGCUUGUUAAUAUGACUCCUUGAUUUUAGGCAAGUUCUAAACGGCCACGCGGAGGACGCUUGAUAUUCGCCCUUUUUAUAAAGGGGCAAAGGCAUGUCCUCUUCUUUUCAUGCUCGAUCCUUCCCCACCCCCACCUCGAGUUUCAACACCCAAGGCUCAUGCUAAGCGCUACGGACCUUCAACCAUGUCCGGAUGCAACCUUCAAGGCCGGUGGAUGGCCUCCUCUGUCACAGAGGGGGACAUCAAGAAGCUAAGGGAAGCCAGGUAUCUGACCGCCGAAAUCUCGCACAGGCUGCCUGCUCAAGGGCAGGUCAUCCCCACUCCCGAACCCAAUGAGAGUGUCGUAUUUGUUUCCCACUUCCUCCGAGGGCUAGGCUUUAGUCUCGAUCCCUUUGUUAGAGGGCUUAUGUUCUAUUACGGGCUCGAUUUCCACGAUCUAGCCCCAGAUUCCAUCCUUCACAUCUCGUUGUUUAUCGUCGUGUGUGAGGCCUUCCUCUGCAUCACCCCACACUUCGGCUUAUGGCUCAAGACCUUCAAUGUGAAGCCGAACAUGAUCGAUGGGUGACACGCAGAAUGCGGAGGUGCCAUAAUAAGCAAAGGCGCCGAUGCUCCAUGGCCAAAGGGUUCCUUCCCGGAGGUGUCCAACUUAUGGCAGCGGGAGUGGUUUUACAUCACAGAUCCACGAAGUACUAAGUAGAUAGCUGCCCCCUGCUUCCGUUCGCCCCCUCCCCCUGCCACAACUGGCGUCAUGGGUCAACAAGGGGCUGGACUAGGGGCCAGUUAAUGACGUGCCGGCAUUGCAAAGUCGCAUCCGAGAUCUCCUCAAGAGGGAUGUUAGUCUCGUCAAGGUAAUGCAAGUUAUGCUAGUUCGUCAGGUCCUGCCAUGCCAAUGUCGAUCUCUCUGUAUGUGGGAGUUCAACCUGGAAGGACCACGAACUAUUCAGCAAUUCUUUGGCAUGACACUCGAAGGGAUGUAUGGAUUGUUCUUCGGAUCACGAAUAACGUGAUCAGACACCACCAAGGAUGCGGGUCUAAACUGCAAUCGUCCAGAUACCCAUGUAAGUAAUUUUGCGGCCGAACACGUAGUCUUUUCAUUCGUCAUAACAUCAUUCUGAAAAAAUUGCUCUUAGCCAGGACUGGAUAAGAAAGGCGAAGAUGAUCAGGUGUUCGGCCCCCCUUCCCGAAGGCUCAUCGGAUCAUGUACUAGCCAGGAUGCUUGAGCACACACUUUAUCAAGUGCCAUCAGGGGAAGAUAAAGGGAGGGAUAAAGAAGCCGAAAGCGGGCCUCACGCAUUACUCAUCCAAACCGAGGGAAUUAGUGUCUCCGCGAAGGAGGAUAAUCGGGGAGAAGGAUCUAGAAUCCCCUCUCCCUAAGGAAGGAAAAGGACUGCCUUUGAAGACUUGGAAACGAGGGUUUCCAAACGAGGGAAGAAACCUUCGCCAGGGGGGCCUUCCCCGGAGGGCGUCCUUACCGCACAAUGCCCGCAAGGGGGUCAGCCCUCCACCGAGCUGUAAGUGAACCAGAGUACAUUUGGUAAAUAUAUGAUGCUUUAUCUCCGAGGACAAUAACCGAGACAUAUGUCUUGCAGUCCGGAUCGUAGCCCUUUUCGACAGAGUUCGUCUUCGGGGGAUCUUCUUCUGGAGAUGAUGGAGAGCGAAACGCCUCCCCUGUCUCCCAGCCUCCUGAGGCGGACAACCCUGAGGUGUCAUCACAGAGGAUUUCUCCUGAUCCGCCAAGGCCAGAAGGUAACCCUUCGGGCACCCGAAGUCCGAAGUAUUCGGCUCCUUAGGAGAGCAAAAGAAAGCGUCUGGGAUUGUCCGGUGCACAACCGGACGUACUGAUGGGUCUUUUGGAGCAAGUGGCUAUCUCAGAGGAGCAUCGUACUUUAAUGGGUACGGUGGUUGAGAGGAUCUCAUCCGCCAAAAGUGGGUUGCAUGAAGCUUUUAUGAGCCUGCUAAGAGGCUUUGAGGUACGCAAAGUAGUGUUUAAAUUUUUUAUGGUACCGCACACGCUAGGUGUGCUCUAUACAGAUAGUAGCCCCUGCGACUUUGGUUGCUGUCCAGAGGUGGCAAACAGAGGAUCGUAGUCCCAAGUAAUGAUCGUGCUGCUUUCAUGUGCAGGCGGCUGACGGUCCGGUGGCUGGCUGGACUGCUGAGUUUGCCGGACUGAGCCGGCAACUUGAUACAGCAGAUGCCGACAUCGUGCUUAUGAACAAGCGGCUUGACGAGGCACAGGGUAUGUAUUCUCCAGUGGUCAACAAAUAUUAAGAGGAGCAAGAUGCUAGUAUCUAUAACAUGCUGUGACUGCAGAUGGAGCUGCCGCUGUGGAGACCCUUUGGGCGGAGAUUGCCCGAGCCAAGGAACAAGCCAGGAGAAGUGAUAUGGCCGCCCUAAAGGCGACCGAAGAGUUAAGAGCCGAACUGGCUGCUCAUCGCCAGAGCGAAGAUAAAAUAGCCAAGAUAGCUGUUGAGCUGAAGGAUGCCACUGACCAGUAUGAGCUUCUUGAAAAGGAAAGCCAAGCGAAAGCGGCGGGCCUGAAGAAAGUCAUGGUAGCAGCCAAGGAAACCCGCUCUAAAAUCAGAGCGGCGAAGCAGGAGCUCCGUCAGGCCGGAGAUAUCACGGCUGGGAAGCCCUUUUUGUUGCGGAUGAAGUUCGGAGAUCCAAAGUAUGCCCCUCUGGAUCAAUUAUGGAGUGCAGUAGACGCGUAUUCGGACCUGGCAAUGAGUGCUGCUGAUGCGACUGAGUUUUUCAAAGAUCAGAAAGAUCAUGAAGUGGAAAGAUUGUUCUGGUCGCAGUUAAGUGCUCCAACGCGUCCGCUGCUAUUAAAUGAGCAAACGGCCGAGUGGGCUAAGCUCCAUAGGUUGUCCGGGCUUGCCAUGAGGUCUGUCAUGGAUCAUCUUUGGAUGGAAGGACCAAGGGCGAAUAGUUAUUUUGGUUUAGUGCAACGAUUCCUUGGUGGUGUGCCGCAUAUCGACGCUGUAAAGAGGUCGGCGUGCAUAGAGGGUGCGCGGAUGGCUCUUGCCCGUGUUAAGACAUACUGGGCAGAGAUGGAUGCCACCACUAUUGCAACCCGGGGUCCGGCCAUAGGCCAGGUCUCGGCCGAGCACUAUUUUGAAGAAGUCCUAGAAGGUGCUCGUUUAAUAGAGGCUCAGUGCUCGAAGAGUAUCAUGUUCAAGUGACAUGUAUCCCAAUUGUAAAAACAAUGCUAUUUGUAUUAUAAAGGCUGUGUUUAUACUUUUUCCUGAAAGUAUUAUGAUGCCUCCUGUGCGGCCGUUUAUGUAUGUAUGUAACCUGAAAGUUUGCAGUCGUCGGCUUCAGCCCGCACGCAUAUAAUGCGGAGGUGUUCGGAAAAGCACGUAUUCACACUUGAUCCAACGUCUUGGUCCAUUAAGGAGGUGAUAGCACGGCGAACAAGGCAAUCGGACUAUAUUGCUUUAACACUUUCACUUAGCCAUAGGAGUUUGAUAGUGGGGCUACUAUAUAGCCCCUGGUACUUCCGCGCUUAUCCGAAUACGGUGCACGUACAUACAUGACCGGGAAACCGGUCCUUCGUUAAUGCGGAGGAAUCGCGAAGAUUCCCCUGAGUCCUCGAGUGGUUGACCAGUCUCGCGCUUUAUCAUGACAGUUAGUUUUCGGCUUUCACUACUGAGGUGCUCAUCUAGAUCAACCAGGGCACAAUCACAGUAGUUCUCCUGGUGCCACCUUAGCCGAUAGAGCGGAACGUAAGGUAGCAAAACACGGGAGCCGAGCAAACCCAACUAUUGACCAAAGACAUGAUUCGGAGCUAAUGCAUAUAAGGCCAAACUCACGACGCCGAACACUCCCUAAGUUAUUCAGUCUUUACAACGUAUACUUGGCUGAGUAAGGCCCUCGAUAAUAAGCCCUGAAUUUCCAGGUACGUGCAUUAGUCCGAUGUGACAAAAUGUCAAUAACGCUAGCAUCCCUCUUGGUUAUGUUGAGUAUCCCGAGGGUGUGAAGCAACAAGAGACAGUAAAAAAGGUGUACACAGGGUCUUAAUCUAAAAAGAAACCUUUGAACGGGGCCCUGCUGCACGUCUGUGCCUAUGUCUCCGUUGUGCCGUAUCCUGGAAGGGUGUAGCACGAUGAUCAUCUGUAAGAGAGAAAAGCCCAGAUGAAAGUUUUCGUGCGAAAAAUUGGUUAUUCUUAAUAAACCAUUAAAAUUCAAUCUAAAUAAGGUCAAGCCGAACUAUAGUCAUGUUUACAUGUGGGGAGCCCCUAGCACCACCUAUGGGGGUAUAUCCAUCGACCCAGUCUUAGGUUUAUCUGAGCUGUUACAGCUAGUGGUGCGCCGGACUCGUCUAGCCCUGUCCGCGGUCUUGACGGCCGAUCAUUUAUUCUGGUUGGAGAGGUCGUUCAGUGUUCGGAUGCUAAAGCCGCCACACGUUCUUCCGCACGUAAGGAACACUCUGCGUUUCCGCUAACUAUGAUGAUGCCACGUCGAGAGGGCAUCUUAAGCUUAAGAUAAGAGUAAUGUGGUAUUGCAUUAAAACGAGUGAAGGCCGCUCUUCCGAGUAGUGCUUGAUAGCCGCUUCGGAAUGGAGCGAUGUCGAAGGUUAACUUUUCACUUCGGAAGUUGUCGGGAGAACUGAACACAACCUCUAGUACUAGAGAGCCCGUGCAGCGGGCCUCUGGGCCUGGUAUUACUCCUUUAAAGGUAGUAUUGCUUUGGCUGAUUCUUGUCGAGUCUAUCCCCAUUUUGCGGACUGUGUCCUGAUAUAUUAGGUUAAGACUACUGCCACCAAUCAUAAGGACUCGGAUGAGGUGGUAUUCAUCAAUUAUUGGGUCUAGUACCAACACAGCCGAUCCUCCAUGCUGGAUACUAGUCGAGUGAUCCCUGCGAUCAAAAGUGAUCGGGCAGGCCGACCAAGGGUUGAACUUGGGGGUUAUGGGCUCCACGGCGCAUACGUCUUGGAGUGCGCGUUUGCUCCUUCUCUUCAGUACGUGGAUCAUGUUCACUGUUUUGACCUCUGGUGGGAAUUUUUUCUGUCCCCUAGUGUUUUGCUGGCGAGGCUCAUCCUCGUCUUCACUUGGUGUCUCCCUCCCCUUGUGUUUGGCAUUUAGCUUGCCGUCCUGCUUGAAGACCCAACAUUCUCUGUUGGUGUGAUUUGCCGGUUUGUCAGAAGUGCCAUGAAUCUGACACAAUCUGUCUAGAAUCUUGUUUAGGCUGGACGGUCCAUCUCUCCUGCCUUUGAAUGGCUUUUUCUGUUGACCGGGUCGAGAGCCCCUGAAUCCGGCGUUUACUGCCGUGUUUUCUAGGUUGUCUUCAUUGUUUCGACGCUUGCUUUUAUUGCGUCGUGGUUUUCCAUUGCCAUCCCUGACUUCGGAUGUGCUUGGGUCGCUGGUGCCGCUACGGGCUAGCCAACUAUCUUCGCCCAAAAGCAGGUCAUAAGGCUUGUUAGGGCUGUCAUUGUCCUUAGUUUUUCCUGGCCGAGGUGUCUGGUGAGCCAUUCGUCCCGGACACUAUGUUGGAAAGCCGCUAAGGCUUCGGCGUCCGAGAAGUCGAAAAUUUGAUUCUUCUUAGUGAGGAAUCUGUUCCAAAGCUUUCGGGCUGACUCUCUCGACUAUUUAAUUAUAUGACUUAAAUCGUCUGCAUUCGGAGGUCGGACAUAGGUCCCAUGAAAAUUAGCCCUAAAAGCAUCCUCAAGCUCUUCCCAACUUCCAAUUGAGUUUUCGGGGAGGCUCUUUAGCCAGUGCCGAGCUGGUCCUUUCAACUUGAGGGGCAAGUAUUUGAUGGCGUGGAGAUCAUCUCCGCGAGCCAUGUGGAUAUGAAGGAUAAAGUCCUCAAUCCAGACCCCAGGGUCUAUCGUUCUGUCGUAUGCCUCUAUGUUCAAGGGUUUGAAUCCUUCUAGAAAUUCAUGAUCCAGAACCUCAUCAAUGAAGCAUAGGCGGUGUGCGGCACCCCUGUAUUUGGAUGUGUGAUGGCAUUCUGACGGUUGUAGUGUUCGGUAUUGAUUCUGUGCCAGAGCGUGUUUAAUAGAUCUGUAGAUGGACCUGGUCAUACCGGUUUUCUGAUGUAAGUCCUCACAUGAAUCGUGUGCUGACUUAUGUGCGACAUCGUUAGCCGCCCUAUCACGGCCACGGGGUGGUCGAUCCGACUGAUCGGCCGUUUUAUUUUUUGCCUGUAUAGGCUCUAAAGCCUCGUCAUCGAAUUCAGGCAGCAGCUUGCGCUUUGGAUAGCUCUUUGUGUGGUGGAUGCCAUCGUACUUUUCUUCAGAGUCGAUCACUUUGUUCCAUCUGUUGUUGAGUGUAUUUUGCACGGCCUUAAGCCUUUGCUUCUGCUUCUUCAGACUCCUCGCGGUGGCAAUAAGCCUUCUGUGCAGGUCCUCUUGCUCCAAGUGCCUCUCCGGGAUGAUGUGUGCAUCAUUGUCCGGACUGUUCUCCUCUUUGGAGAUGGGUUGAUGAGGUUUACCCUCGGCGUCACCGUGAUCGGGCAGCGGCUCCGUACUAUGUUCGUCGUCCGCUGGUUCAUCCUGCUUUGUCAUUGGGUCCAUGUGGUCGUCGUUUGCUUUGGAGUCGACCGGGGUAUUAUUCUUUCUUGCGUUGUUAUCGCUGUUUUUGCCUAGGGGGGAUUUGGAGCGGCGCCUACGUCAUUGCUUUGGUUGCUUCUCGAGGGGAUUAUCCUUCGCUGCGUCCUUCCGUUCCCCGUCAUUGUUUUCUUUGGGUGUAUCCAACAUGUAUAUAUCGUGUGAUGAAGUGGUUGUCCAGCGUCCUGUGGGCGGUGGUUCCUGUUCCUCUCCUGCAUCGUCGUCCAUACCGUCGAUGUCUUCGGAGUCAAAAUCAAGCAUGUCGGUUAAGUCGUCGACAGUGGCUAUUAAGUGGGUGGUGGGUGUGGAAGGAAGUUCUUCAUCGUCCGCUUCCCACUCCAGCCGGACAUAGUUCGGCCACGGGCCUUCUGACAACGAGAGAGACCUUAAUGAAUCCAGCGCGUCGCCUAGGGGCGAAUGCUGAAAGAUAUCCGUGGAGGAAAACUCCAUAAUCCGCGACCAAUCAGGUUCGUUAGGCACGAACACAGGCGAUUCGGAGCCCGUGGCCGGGGACGAAUCCAAGGGUCCGGCAACAUAUGUCUCGUAGGAGGUGAAGUCAGUAUUCGGCUCUGUCGCCAUUGAGUGUGCGGCCUCCGUGGCAGGGUCCGUCCACCCGUCCUCGGACGGCGCGAUCUGCUCCGGAUCAAGGGUCGGAGUUGCCACAGGUGUGAUCUCCCGAAUACUGACCAGUGGUAGAGCUAAGUCAUGCUCGUCGUGGCUGUGUGGUGCAAUUGACACGGGCUCUAAUCCGUCGAAGAUCAAGUCUCCGCGGAUGUCGACAGUAUAGUUUAAAUUUCCAAGCCUGACCUGGUGGCCAGGGGCGUAGCUCUCGAUCUGCUCCAGAUGGCCAUGCGAGUUGGCCCGCAGUGCGAAGCCGCCGAAUACAAAGAUCUGUCCGGGGAGAAAAACCUCACCCUGGAUCGCAUCAUUGCCGAUGAUCGAAGGAACCAUCAAGCCUUAUGGUGACGACACAGUGGAACUCUCAAUGAAAGCACCAAUGUCGGUGUCAAAACCGGCGGAUCUCGGGUAGGGGGUCCCGAACUGUGCGUCUAAAGCAGAUGGUAACAGGAGGCGGGGGACACAAUGUUUACCCAGGUUCGGGCCCUCUCGAUGGAGGUAAUACCCUACUUCCUGCUUGAUUGAUCUUGAUGAUAUGAGUAUUACAAGAGUUAAUCUACCACGAGAUCGUAGAGGCUAAACCCUAGAAGCUAGCCUAUGAUUAUGAUUGUUCUUGUCCUACGGACUAAACCCUCCAGUUUAUAUAGACACCGGAGGGGGCUAGGGUUACACAGAGUCCGUUACAAGGGAGGAGAUCUACAUAUCUGAAUUGCCAAGCUUGCCUUCCACGCAAAGGAGAGUCCCACCCAGACACAGGACGAAGUCUUCAAUCUUGUAUCUUCAUAGUCCAACAGUCCGCCCAAAGUAUAUAGUCCGGCUGUCCGAGGACCCCCUAAUCCAGGACUCCCUCACACAUUUCAUAUUGAUCUUUGCUCCGUUAAUUUUCUGUUGCCACUAUUAUGAUUGCUACAAAAUUGCUACUGUUACUUUUGCCAUUAUUACCGCUACUUCCAUACUACUUUGCUAAUAAAUACUUUGCUGCAGAUAUUAAGUCUUUCAGGUGUGGUUGAAUUGACAACUCAGCUGCUAAUACUUGAGAAUAUUCUUUGGCUCCCCUUUUGUCGAAUCAAUAAAUUUGGGUUGAAUACUCUACCCUCGAAAACUGUUGUGAUCCCCUAUACUUAUGGGUUAUUAGUGAUUGGCGGUUGCCCUCUCUUGAUGAAGAGCUUCAAUGGUCCAGCACCCUGAUGGAGCGAGUCACCAAGGUGGAGGCCAAUGUAUACAAAUGUACCCCCUAUGUGGAGGUAGCGUUUAUCAAGAGGAGGAUCGAGGAGGACAUGGUUGCCCUCAUCGCUGCAAUGGCAAGGGCCGCAAAGGCUGGGAAGGGCAAAGGGAAAGCCGAGGAUGUGGGCUCCUCCCAUGGUAGUAGCGAGGUGCAAGUCAUGGCAGAGGUUGUCGGGGAAGACCUUGCCGGGGACGAGACUGUUGGGCUUGAUGCUCUAGCCACUGCGGCAGUAGAGCUCCAAGAGGAGGAGGAGGCUGGCGAGGUAGCGGAGCAUGAGGCGGAUUGGCUCGCGGCUGGACCUCAAGCCCCCGAGCCGGUUUUGGAUCAGCAUCCCUGCAGGCGUGCUGCUAACCGGGGAGCGGUGGCUCCAAAUCCAGCGCCUGUCGCCAAGAGGGUGUAGAAGAUCACCACCAAAAUCACCAAGACCGACGUGGCGUGCCGUCAGUGUCCUCUCCUUGUCGGGAUCAAAGCUUCCCCUGCCAAGCAAUCAGCGAAUGUGGAAGUCAAUCCUAGCUCUCAUUCUGGCUCGAGCUCUUCACAGAGCUUAUCUUCAUCACAGCCCCGGGCGCCUCAGCUGGAAUUGGAGCUACCGGAGAGCUCCGCCCCUCCAUCCCAGAAGAGAGGCAGGGCAUCGUCACCUCCCGUGGAGUUCAAUUUGAACUCCAUGCUCAUUGAUGAGGAGUAAUGAAGAUUUCCUUUCUUAUAAAUAGCUUCAGUAUACUUGAUUAUCUUUGCUGACUGACCUCUUGUUUUGCUGCCGUUGGCAGAGAGGUGGAGGAGGAUACAGAGACCCUCACCCAUCGGUCGAAGAGGCCCCUGCGCACUAGGUCUCCGAAGACUGUGGAGAGCCUGGGCUUGGCGGGGAGCAAUACGGAAGAUCCCGCACCGGGUCCCCAUCCCAGCCCUCGACCCAUAGGUGGAGAGCUGGUCCCCUCUACCGGAGGUGACGGAGACGAGCUUUCCAUCCCCUCAGUCAGAGGAGGCGGCAAGAUGACGCAGGACGAGUCCCCCUGGGAAGGCAGGUCCCUUCUACUACCCCAGUCAAGGAACCCCUGGCGAGGCCCUUUGCGGACGAGACCGCACAGGAUGCUGUCACGACUGCCGCAGCAGGGGGCAGAGUUCAUGGCCCGGCAACUAGUGCUUCCGAAGAAACUGAGGCCCCUGCCCGGUAGGUUCCUUUGGGUACUUAACUUCUGCUCUCUUCCCUUCUUCCUUGUGCAUAUCACUUCUCCCUAUACCCCGGCAAUCUAAGACUCCUACUUUUUUUGCCAUUCACUUGUCUUCCCUUUUGUGGUCCUCCAAGCUGAAGAGCCAGAGCUGCUGGAAGAGGUGGCCAGCAUAGGGAGAGUUGUUGCGGACGACGCCCCCAAGAUUGCCACUAUGGAGGGACAGGGCCUUGUUGCUGAGAGUUCUCAGGAUUCCUUGGCAGUGGUGGAGCAUGCUUCAGAGAGAGCCCCGAGGUGGAAGUGUUUGUUGAGGGGAAGAUUCCUCUCCAAACCAUGGAUCCCCUUCUUUCCUCUCGGCCCAUGAUGGGGACCUCGGCAUCCCCUUCAAGUCAAAUGGCGCUGGUGCUGGUGCAGAAUGUGAUUGGAGCCCCCGGCCUGUCCAUGAUGACAAGCGCGAAGCUCGACAAAGAGCUUCAAUGCAUCCUGGCAUCACUGCACCAAGGGGUUGGAGAGGCGGAUGAUUCAGUUGCGGUUGCAAUGGACUUGUCUUUUCUAGAGUCCAUGGCGACGGGUGUCAAGGAAAUGCAGGCCCAGCAUGACCAGACGUGGCAGGCGCUCAAGGAGCGGCGCGAGUCUGCUAGCAGUGUGGACCAGAAGCUAAAUGACAAGUGCCUGGAGUUGCACGAAUGGCACGACAAGCAGUUCAAGGUGUUUAUGAGGCAGCAAGAGGCGCUUCUGAUGAAAAGGGAAGAUGUCAUGGCCUGCGAAGCGCGCUUAGUGGACCGGAAGGCACACUUGGAUGCCAGAGAGCAAGAAAUCUCUCUCCCGGAGGAGAAGCUUGGAGCCACUCUUCGCGCCAAAGAUGAUGAUCUGGAAGCCCUCGUACAUCAACAUACCAAGGAGCUGGAAGACGAGCACAAAGCUUCCCUGGGUGCCCUUACGACCGAUUGUGCCGCUCGGUUGAAGAAGCUCAAUGAUGAUCUAGUUGCUGCAUCCACUGCCAAGAUUAAUCUCGACCAACAGGUGACCAAUCUGAUCGAAGAGCUUGCCGAGAGCACCAAGGAAGUGGAGGCCCUCGAGGAGGAAGCACGAAAGACGGAGGUUCUCCUAACCGACGUGCAGUUGUAGCUUUCCUCCAGGACCCAAAGUCUUGAAAAUGCCAACGACACCAUCAUUGAUCUGAAAGCCAGGAUCAGUUCCUUAGAAAGCACGGCAGAGUCUAGCAGAAGCCCCCAGUAGCAGCUGUCCAGAGAUCUGGAAAAUGCCUAGUGUCUCUGGAAGGAUGCAGCAGACCAGCUGGCGAAUAAAUCUAAGCAGCUCAACCUCUGGAUUAGGAGCCUGAUGGAUAUCACCAUGCGACUUGCCACCUAGACCGUAGUGAUGGGCAUGAAUGAGCUAGCUUUUUUUGUCAACAGUCAUGAGGUCCCCAGCAUCAAGCUGGGAGUUUUCUUCAACAAGCUGAUCAAUAAGCUGAAGGUGCAUGAAGAGGGGAGGGCCAAGCUCUUCAUGACUGAAUCCCGAAAGCUCAUCACGACGCCCUCUUCAUGGUCUUGAGGAACACCGCAUGCCACCACCUGGACCUCGACCUUGAUGACGGGUUUAGGAAGCCGUCGGUGGGUGCCGACAUCUCAGCUGCCAAGGAGAAAGUAGCCCCUCGGGCUGCCAACGUCUUCCGCGUCCCAACGGCUUCACACAGUCGUCAGACUAAGUGAUGAGCCAUAGUUACUCUUGUGCUAUCCUGUAACAAGACAUGAUAUAUGCUUUGUGUUCAAGUACCAUACUGUUUAAUGCUUGCGUGGAACUGAUGUCCUUUGCUUAAUCUUAAAUGCACAUUUAUCCCUCUGAACUUAUUUGCAUGUGUUCGUACGAUUGGUCCUUAUGUAUGUUCUAGUUGCUUGCCGGUAUCAUAUUGCCGCAAUUGUCGUAAGGGUCCGGCCCUUAACACUCAUCUUGGCAUGAAUGCGUCCCGGCAACUUUUUCCUUGGUACCUCUCGACGCAGCCGCUCAUUCUGCGAGCAGGGCUCUGGACAUAACGAGGUGUAGACAAAGAACUAGCCAAGGUACCAUCACACGAAGGAUUUCAUAGCACGAACACUUGAGAAUGCCAAGGGAUACACGAAUGUAAAAAUCUAGGGUUCAUCAAGAGGAAAUGACUGCGUGGACUUAUCUUUUUCCCUUUUCCUUUCCCAUCUCUUUCAGAGGCGUGCAUUUGGCAUGCUCGGGAUAUCCGAAAAGAUGGAAUCCAGGCGAAUAACUCUCUGGUUCCCGGCAGGGACCAAUACAUGUCAUGCGUGUCUGGUGGCCAGUGGAAUACAGUGCCAGGCUUUCCCGGUCCCUCUCCCCCUCUUCUUUUGAGCAAUCCGGCAACGGCUGUCGCAUGGAUCACACCAGUGCAGACGGCCUUGCUGGGGCAUACUUGCCUGGGCAUCGAUCAAUGGAUUCGUACCGGCGUUUUACUCAGGAUUUCCCUAAGCAGGGUAAAUGCUGAACCGAGUACUGGGCGCUACUCAUCGACAUUGACGAUGCCAGGGACAAAGCAACUCGAUUGACGAUGAAGGAGAGAGAUGGAAAAGAGGAACCUUGUGCUCACGCACCUUGUCUUUUCUUCCCGAACGGUGCCUAAGCGGCGGUCAUGCCACAUUGGCCGCCUGGGAGGGGCAUAACACCGCCGACAAUAAUCUUCACUGUGGCUGCGACCUCGGUGGGAUGAGAUGAUGAAUAAAGCAGGCGCGGGAGCGGCCCCGUCUCCCCGCUCUGUCUUCGCAUUUCCACGGGCGCCGCUGAUACCAAAAUCUUUGGCUGGGCUGCCAUGGAUAUGAUGCGCUGCUCAUGCCUUUAGGUUCGCGCAAGUGAUUCAACUACCUGGCACGCCAAAGAUGUCGCAGGAAACCACGGCCACCUAUGGGACCAAGGGUCCCUUGCUGGUUUGGCGGGGGGAUGACAUGUUGCACAAAGAGCAGAGGAGCGUGGAACAGCAUGACAGAGAUCACACAAGCAGUCUUUACCCAGGUUCGGGCCGCUGUGAGGCGUAAAACCCUACUCCUGCUUUGGUGGAUUCAUGGUGGAAAAAAUGGUGGUGAGUGCAACACGCUUGCUCGGUAGGAUUGCCUUGGGGUGAAACGGCUACGCGCGUAUGAAUAUGUGUGGGGGUGGAUUAGCCAACCCUUUCUAUGGUUGCCUUGGGCCUCCUUUUAUAGACAAAGGGGUCACCACGGUGGCAAAUCAGUCAUUAUGCACUGAUUAGAUAGCAAACAAUGCUAUCAUACCUAACUCUACAGGCCGACAGAUCGCAUUAAAUGCACCGCUCUACGUCACAUCGUAGCUUGCCCGGCAGGCUCUGUCGGGCUGUUUUGCCAGCUUUGCGCCUGCUCCCUCGACACAUCGCAGGACGGGUGUCGCUUGUAGGUAUUUUCUGUAGGAAGUGGCUGCCAUGUGGCAAAUAGCACUCACUUAGCCACUUUGGCGCUUGACACCUCAUCGAUCGAUGACGUGCGCGUGUUGAGGUGGUGCGAUGAGGUGGUUUUGCCCUUGCAAGCCCCGGCAGGCCUGCCAGGACGACCCAAAGGCUUGCUUCCGGGGGGUGGCCGCAUACUUCCCUUGGCAGCAUCUUGCUUCUCUGGCUUAGUCUUGGUGCUCUUGUGCUGCAUGCUGGUCCCUUGAAGAACAAGUCUCUUGUGCUUCGGUCUGAUCUGGGAGUUGUAAUCUUGUUCUCGUGCCUGUGGGCUUCAUCUUCCAUGCAGGAGUCAGGGGAAAAUGUAUACCCCUGUUUAUUUUCCUCGACACACACCAUGCAAGUUUCUUUCAAGAUCUAUGAGGAUACCUUGGAAUGUGAUGUGGUCCCUAUGUUUGUGUGCCACCUUCUCUUGGGAAGACCUUGGCAAUUCGACCGCGGCAUCAUCCACAACGGAAGAACAAACCACUAUAGCUUCAAGAUGAAGGGAACAGAGUACGUGCUACGACCUAUGUCACCAAGCCAAGUGAUAGCCGACAAGCAGGCAUCCACCCAUCAUGGAGAAACUAGUGAGAGAGUGAACCACCACAAAGAGAGUGAGAGCCACAAGCCCAAAUUGAGUGACUCUACGCCAUGAGAGAAAAACUUAGUCCUCCUAGCCACAAAAAGAGAGAUGAGAGAAGUGUGUGAGAACUCCGAGUGUCAUCCACUAUGUCCUAGUGUGCAAAGAUGAGGUGGCAAAGACUAACACUACUAACCCUCUUCCUCUAGUGUUGUCUGAUUUGUUGCAGGAAUUCGCGAAUGCCUUCCUCGAUGAGCUACCUCCUGGUCUUCCUCCUCUACAUGGCAUCGAACAUCGGACCGCUCUCAUCCCCGACACACCUCUUCCUAACAAGGCUCCAUAACACGUCAACCCCUAAUGUAGGAUAGAACCCUAAUCGGGCGAUCUUUCACGAAAGGAGCGGAUCCCGCGAUGAAAACGAAGAACGCAAGGGGGGAAAUGAGGGGAAACACAAGAGGAAACUUGAGAAAAUCACUAAACCAACAUGAAAUAGUCACACAUGUGCUAGAUCCUCGAGUACAUAAGAGAUCACAUGGUCCACGGACAACUAAGGACGAUACAAAGGUAGUCGGUCUUCUCCGUGAGGAGGUCUUGAAGUUCUUCUCCGCAAGGAGGUCUUGAAUCCAAAGGUAUCUUCUCCGAAGAGGGGUCGCGGUCUCUCUCGUGGAGUAGAUCCGAUGUGGAUGAGCAAUGCUCUAUCUCUAAAUAUGAGCUAAACCAAUGCUAACCCUAGAAAGAGGAACGCAGAGGAGUAUAUAUAGUCUAUGGGGUUGAAGGGGUACACGGGCCUCAACCCUUCACUGUGCCCAGAUAGGGGAGGUCGGACGUCCGGACGUCGGGCCGGAUGUCCGGGCUUUGACACGAGGCCGGAUGUCUGGGCUGGAGUGGCUGGCUUCGUUGCUCUCGGGUUCGGAGGGGUACGGAUUUCCGGGCUGGUGGCCGGAUAUCCAGGAGCUCAGGAAGGGUCGGAUGUCUGGGCUGUUGGGGCCGGAUGUCUGGGGCCUGUAGAUGCUUGGUGGCUGUGCAGCUUGAUGAUGGACGACGCUCCAGGGGCCGGACGUCUGGGGUCGUUGCCGGAUGUCCGGGUCCUAGGAGGUGUUCUCGACUCCUUCCGUGGGUUCUCUUCAUCCAUUAACUUGGGGGCUUGUACACCUUCACGUGCAUCUUCGGGAGGGUCCUCUUGGUACCUAAUCAUGCACAACGUCUCGGAUUUAGGUAGUAGCCAUGUCUCGAGAGGAUCAUAUGUAAUAUCACUAAGGAAGGAAGUCACCUCGUUCUCGAGAGCUCUAGCUCUAGCUCGUGUCAUGGGUCCUCUUGGCUCUUGUUGAGGCGAUGGUAGGUCAAUGGGGAUGACCAUAGGAUGCUCCGCAUCAUUUCCCCUCCCUUGGGGAAGAUCUGACCUCGGAUCAAAAUCCUCAUCACCAUGGUAGGGCGAAAGAUCCUUGACAUUGAAGAUGUCGCUCAAGGAGUACUUGUCGCGCGGGAGAUCGAUCUUGUAGGCAUUGUUGUUGUAGCGUUCAAGCACCUUGAAAGGUCCAUCCGCUUGUGGUCGAAGAUUGGACUUGCGUUCGUUGGGGAAGCGAUCCUUGCGAAGGUGUAGCCACACAAGAUCUCCAAUGUUGAAUACCAUGGGGUGCUUGUUGAUGUUGCGCUUGGUCGCAAGUCGUUGUACUUGGCGCUCGAUGGUUUGCCUUGUAUCUUCAUGCACCUUCUUGAGAUGGUUCACACGUGCACUUGCGUCCAUACUGAUGCGCUCUUGUAGUGGUAGAGGAAGGAUGUCCAAUGGGGACAAAGGGUUGAAUCCGUAGACGACCUUGAAGGGGGACUUGUCGGUUGUGGAGUGUCUUGCGCGGUUGUAGGUGAACUCGGCGAUAGGUAGACACUCCUACCACUCCUUGAUGUUCUUCUUGAUGAGUACUCGAAGUAGAGCGGAGAGUGUGCGGUUGGUCACCUCCGUUUGGCCGUCGGUUUGAGGAUGGUAAGCCAUGGAGAAGAGUAGCUUGAUUCCGAGCUUGGCGCAUAGGGUCUUCCAAAAGUAGCUUAGGAACUUGACAUCGCGGUCCGAGACAAACGUAUUUGGUGCUCCAUGAAGACGCAAUAUUUCCCUACAAAAGAGAUUGGCAACAUGUGAAGCAUCGUCUAUCUUGUUGCAAGGAAUGAAAUGUGCCAUUUUGGAGAAACGGUCCACAACGACAAAUACCGAAUCCUUUCCAUUUCGAGUCCUAGGCAAUCCAAGUACAAAAUCCAUGAUAUGUCUUCCCAUGGUUGAUAUGGAAUUGGUAGAGGCAUGUAAAGGCCAUUGGAUUGAGCUUUGGACUUAGCUUUGCGACAUGUAGAGCAUCGGUUGGUGAAGCGGUUGACGUCGCGAAACAUCUUGGGCCAAUAGUAGUUCUUGGAGAGUGUGGCGAAAGUCUUGUCGCGUCCAAAAUGCCCCAUUAAUCCUCCUCCAUGAGAUUCCUGCAAAAGAAACAAAGGAAGAUAAGACUCGGGGAUGCAAAGCUUGUUAGCUCUCAUAAGAUAACCGUGUUUGAUGUAAUAGCGAUCCCAAGAGGUAUGCGUCAAGCACUUGGCAUAAGGAACGGUGCUAAAAACUUUCACAAAGCGACGAUAGAAACCUGCAAGGCCAAGAAAGCUACGCACUUGUUGCAAGUUGGUUGGUUGUGGCCAAGUCUUAAUAGCAUUGAUCUUGGACACAUCUACAUGAACACCCUUAGAAGAUACAACAAAACCCAAGAAAACAAGCUUAUCAACGCCAAAAAGGCAUUUCUCCAUAUUAGCAUAGAGAUGCUCUUUUCGAAGAGUUUGUAAAACGGUUUGGACAUGGGUGACAUGCUCUUUGAGAGACUUGCUAAAAACAAGGAUAUCAUCGAAGUAGACCACAACAAACACACCAAUGUAAGGGCGAUAGACAUGAUUCAUAAGACGCAUAAAAGUACCCGGUGCUUCCGAUAGACCCAUAGGCAUGACUAACCACUCAUACAAGCCAUACUUGAUUUUGAAAGCGGUUUUCCAUUCAUCACCCUCUUGUAUGCGGAUUUGAUAGUAACCACUCUUAAGAUCAAUUUUUGAAAAGAUAGUGGCACCACUAAGUUCAUCAAGCAUAUCAUCAAGGCAUGGAAUUGGAUACCUAUAACGAACGGUGAUAGCAUUGAUAGGUCUACAAUCGGAGCACAUGCGAAAGCUACCGUCUCGGUUUGGCACAAGAAUGACCGGGAUGGCACAAGGGCUCAAACUUUCACGCACAUGUCCAUGGUCUAUGAGAUUCUUUACCUGCCUUUGUAUUUCUUUGGUUUCUUGGUGGUUGAUGCGGUAGGGUGCUUUGUUCGGAUGAGGUGCUCUAGGGAUGAGGUCGAUGCGGUGCUCGAUUCCUUGUAGUGGAGGUAGUCCCGGAGGUAGCUCAUCGGGGGAACCAUCUUGAAAUUCCUGCAAAAGAGAAGACAACACUAGAGGUAGACUGUGAGAGGUGUUAGCUUGUUUUGUGUUGUCCUUGCACAAAAGGACAUAGUGUAGGACACUAGAUGGGUUCUCAAACACUCCUCUUAUCUCACUUUUGGUGGCAAAUAGAACUAAGUUCUUCUUGUCACUAUCGUGGAGGCGCUCGGUUUGGGCUUGUGGCGCUCACUCUCUUUGUGGUGGCUCACUCUCUCACUAUUCUCUCCAUGAUGGGUGGCUUGCUUGUCGGUGACCACUUGGCUUGGAGACAUGGGGAGAAGUACAUACUCCUUUCCUUUCAUCUUGAAGAUGUAGUGGUUCGUUCAGCCAUUGUGGAUGACACCUCUAUCAAAUUGCCAUGGGCGUCCAAGGAGAAGGUGGCAAACGGUCAUUGGAACGACGUCGCACUCCAAAGUGUCUUCGUAGGCACCAAUUUUUAAGGAGACUUGUACUCAAUGCUCUACUUGGAUAGUGCCGGAGUCGCUAAGCCAUUGCACUUUGUAUGGAUGUGGAUGCUUCGUCUUGGGAAAUUGGAGCUUGGAGAAAAGUUCUUCACUUGCGAGGUUAUGACAACUCCCUCCAUCGAUGAUGACCUUGACAGAUCGUCCAUUGAUGUCGGCCUUGGUAUCAAAGAUGUGGCAUCGUUGGUCUUCUUCUUGGUGAUGUUGGAGAGUCAAGACCUUAGAGACAAUGAGAGCGGGACUUGAAUCUUCAUCGCAUAAGACUUGUUCCUCUUCGUCGUUCACUUGCCGGUGCAUGGUGACUUGCUCAAGAGCGUCCAUUUCUCCUUCACUCAUUGAGUCAUAAGUGUCGUCGUCAUUGAGGAUCAUGGUCCGCUUGUUGGUACACUCGUAGGACCUGUGGCCCCGGCCUCCGCAUCUGAAGCAUUUGAAAGAACUCGUCUUGACGGUCUCAUCGGUUGGGGUUGAGGAAGAUGAAGCUCUCGGCUUGAAGUUGCUUGUAGUAGGAGGAUGACUUGGAGUUGACGUAGCUUUCUUGGAACUCGAGUUGUCGAUGUUGCUUGUUGAAGGCUUGGUAGACAGUGUUGGAGUCGUUGAAGCUUGGGUGUUGGAGAGGCCGUAGGACUUGGAUGAGAACUUGGCAUACUUGAAAUCAUCUUGCACUUGAUGUUCCGCUUUUGUAGCUUGAUGCACGAGCUCGAUGAGGUUUGAGUAUGGUUGGAAGUCGGCGAUCUUCUUGAUAGGAUGGUUGAGUCCAUUCAAGAAACGUGCCAUAGUUUGCUCAUCAUCUUCCGUGACGUUGGCUCUUAUCAUGGCAAUCUCCAUCACCUUGUAGUACUCUUCAAUGCUCUUGGUUCCUUGCUUGAGUAGUUGGAGUUUCUUGAAGAGGUCGCGGUUGUAGUAGGUUGGCACUAAGCGUGCUCUCAUGGCAUCCUUCAUUUGCGCCCAAGUAGUGAUGGGUGGUUCACCUCUUGCCUCACGACACUCGAUUACUUGUUCGCACCAAAUGAGGACAUAGUCUCGGAACUCAAGGGUUGCCAUUGCUAUCUUCUUCUCUUCUUCGUAGUUGUGCAAAUGGAAGAUUUUGUCGACCUUCAAUGCCCAUGACAGGUACUCUUCGGGAUCGUUGCUUCCAUUGAACUUGGGCAUGGUGAACUUUAGCUUGCCAUAGCGUUGCUCUUCAUUGUGUAGGGGUCACGGAUGAUGACGCCCAUGUUGUUGAUGAUUGUCCAACUCGUGUUGCUCUUGGCAAGGAGGGUUGUUAACCUCAUGUUGCUCUUGUCAUGGAGGAUUCCCAUUGUCUUCAUGCUCUUGGUGAACUUGAUGUCCUUGAGGAGCUUGUGGAGGGGCUUGUCAAGCUCGAGGAGGAACUUGACGAUGCACGUGAGCUUGAAAUCUUCGUUCGUGAGCUUCUUUGCGAAGUGCUUCUUCAUGUUCACGAGCUUGUCGGCCUCGGUUGGCUACGGCUCGACUUGAAUCUUGGAGGGCUUGUUGCACCUCAAUUGCUUGAGCAUCACGGAUUUGUUGUUCUUGUCGUUGUGCCUCAGCAUCUUGUGCAUCUUGGUGUAGGCGUGUUCGCUCUUCCUCUUCAUGUUGGCGUUGGCGUUGUCGCUCUCGUGCUUGCGCAAGAACCUCUUGGGUUUGAUGUUGUCGGUGCUCUUGAGAGUUGGUGUCGCUUAGAGGAUUGAGGCUCGCUUGACGAUCUUUGCGCGCGGCACGUCAAAGAGUGUUCGAUGUCGGUGUACUUGAGCCUAAGAGGGUGAAGUCGGAGUGGCGACUUGAGCGGGUCCGUCUUGAUGAGGAUGAAGUGGAAGAAGAGAGGUUUAGCAACAAAGCACGAAUCUUGUCCAUUCUUGCGUCGUUCUCUUACUUGUGAUCGUCGACCUUGUGGUUGAAGUAGUCCCUUGUACGUUUCUCGGAGAGUCGCAAGUCAGCGGCGAGGUUGUCGAUGCGUUCACUCAUUGCUUGUUGCUCUUGAUGCAAAGCACGUUGUGCACCAAAGAGGUGGCUCUUGGUGACGUAGGAGUUCAUGUCAUCGUCGUGCUCAAUGAAGAGUGGGUUGGUAGAGGUACUUGUCCUAUCCAUCAUUCCAAGAGAAAAAUGUGAGUGGAAGAAUAGAAGAACGAAUACCAAAUGUACCUUGACCGAAGUUGAAAGUGGAUCAAUAAUCACUCCAAUGUGGACAAGGAAAUAGCACACUUGGUACCAAUUCUUGUCGGUUUCUCACACCUACACAAGUAAAAGCUUAUGGUGGAGCUUGGUUAGGAUGGUGGCACAAAAUUUAAUGCAAUUGUAAGUGAGCUUCAAUAAUGUUGGAGAAGAUUCGCAAGAUUGCAAUGCAACAAGUAGACUAAGCAAUAUAAGGUACACGGAAACACACACGCAAAAAGAUAAGUGGGGUCGUGCAACCAAGGAUGAGCCAAAAUGUGGAAUCCACAAAAAUGCUCUUGUUGCACAACACUAGAGAGACGCUAGCACGAUUGCACAAUAGGCGGAUACAAAGACUUGUGCACAACCUAUUCAGAAAAAAUGCAACGACUUCUAUCCCAAAUAUGCUCUAUGCAAGGUGUUUCUGUGCGAUGAUCCAAGAUGAUCUGGUAUGACAAUCUUAAUGUUGUAUGAUGCUAUGGUUCUUGCCUAAAAGCUCUUUGUUUAUAUUUCCCUUUUGCUUAAAAGCUUGUUUGGCUCUUUGUUGUUUGAGCUAUUUUCUCAUGCAAUGCUUCAUGAACCAAGACAACAAUUUUGUAUGCGAUGACAACCUUGUGACACAAGAGAUGAUACCAAGAUAUGCAACAAUUAUGUAUGUAUGCUAUGGGAAGUAUGAUCACUAAUGUGCACAAGUCUCAUUGCCGGCAAUACUCAACGGCUAGUCUCGAUGGGUAAGCGAUGCAGAGGAGUAAGGCUAUGAUGGCUAUCAAUGUAAUGGCAAGAAUGAUAUGUCCAAUACCAAGGUGAGGUUACCGUUCCGUUGGUUCCUCGUCCGUAAGCAAAACGGAUGACGAUGAUCCAAUGAGCGUCACGAAUACCAAGAUGUAGUCGAGGUAAUCGUUGUUGAUGACGCGUCCGUGGCGAAGAUGAGCGGCGGUUAUGUUGAUGUCGUACCGUACCUAAAUAGAUGAAACACAAGUAGGACACGGAACCGCAACUCAAAUUCUCAAAGCAAAAUUGGACCAAAAUUGUUAGAGUUGGUGUUGGGAAGCAGUGGUUGUGUAUGUGGUAUAUGGUGGUGCUAUGCGGAAGUGGUGGUGGUAUGCGGAAGUAUAUGUGGGCACGGGAACAAAAUUUGGCGAAAUAUGGACGCAAAACGGGCGGUGGAGAGGAAGAGAUGCUGCCAGGGGCCGGAUGUCCGGGCUUGAUGGCCGGAUGUCCGGGGUGCCGGAUGCGGGGUAUCGGGCCGGAUGUCCAGGCUCUGGAUCCGAGGAUGAACGGGAUGAACACCGCGUGGAGAUGUCAAAUCCGGGCAAUAUUCGGAGAAAUUUGUGGAUGGAAAUUGGGGGAAAAUGGAUGGAAGGAUAGAUCUACCUGCAACACACGAAAUUCGCAGAUCAAAUCCAACAAAACUUCAUCACACCAACAAAUCACAAAAAAAAUUGGGGGCUAUUUUUGUGGUGAAUUUUCAAAUUAGGGACAAAAUCAACAAAAACAAGGCUAGCAACACAACGGGGAGGCUCCAAAAUCGUGAUCAACGUGGCUCUAGAUACCAAGAUGAUGUAGGGUAGAACCCUAAUCGGUCGAUCUUUCACGAAAGGAGCGGAUCCCGCGAUGAACACGAAGAAUACAAGGGGGAAAACGAGGGGAAACACGAGAGGAAACACGAGAAAAUCUCUAAACCAAAACGAAAUAGUCACACAUGUGCUAGAUCCUCGAGUACAUAAGAGAUCACACGAUCCACGGACAACUAAGGACGAUACAAAGGUAGCCGGUCUUCACCGUGAGGAGGUCUUGAAGUUCUUCUCCGCAAGGAGGUCUCGAAUCCAAAGGGAUCUUCUCCGAAGAGGGGCCGCGGUCUCUCUCGUGGAGUAGAUCCAAUGUGGAUGAGCAAUGCUCUAUCUCUAAAUAUGAGCUUAAUCAAUGCUAACCCUAGAAAGAGGAACGCGGAGGAGUAUAUAUAGUCUAGGGGUUGAAGGGUACACGGGCCUCGGCCCUUCACUGUGCGCAGAUAGGGGAGGCCGGACGUCCGGGCGUCGGGCCAUAUGUCCGGGCUUCCACGCGAGGCCGGAUGUCCGGGCUGGAGAGGCCGGAUGUCCGGGCUGGAGCGGCUGGCUUCGUCGCUCUCGGGUUCGGAGGGGUCCAGAUUUCUGGGCUGGAGGCCGGAUAUCCAGGAGCUCGGGAAGGGCCGGAUGUCCGGGCUGUCGGGGUCGGAUGCCCGAGGCAUGUAGAUGCUUGGCGGCUAUGCAGCUUGAUGAUGGACGACGCUCCAGCCGACAGACGUCCGGGGUUGUGGCCGGAUGUCCGGGUCCUGGGAGGUGUUCUUGACUCCUUCCGUGGGUUCCCUUCAUCCAUGAACUUGGGGGCUUGUACACCUUCACGUGCAUCUACGGGAGGGUCCUCUUGGUACCUAAUCAUGCACAACGUCUCGGAUUCAGGUAGUAGCCAUGUCUCAAGAGGAUCAUAUGUAAUAUCACUAAGGAAGGAAGUCACCUCGUUCUCGAGAGCUCUAGCUCUAGCUCGUGUCAUGGGUCCUCUUGGCUCUUGUUGAGGCGAUGGUAGGUCCAUGGGGAUGACCGUAGGAUGCUUCGCAUCAACCGCGAAGAAACCAAAGAAAUACAAAGGCUAGUCCAACAUCUCAUAGACCAUGGACAUGUGUGUGAAAGUUUGAGUCCUUGUGUCGUGCCGGUCAUUCUUGUGCCAAAAAGAAAUGGUAGUUUUCGCAUGUGUUCCGAUUGUAGACCCAUCAAUGCUAUCACCAUUAGAUAUAGGCAUGCUAUUCCUUGCCUUGAUGAUAUGCUCGAUGAUCUUAGCGGUGCCACCAUUUUCUCAAAAUUGAUCUUAAAAGUGGUUAUUAUCAAAUAAGCAUACAUGAAGUUGAUGAAUGGAAAACCGUUUUCAAAACAAAAUUUGGUUUGUACGAGUGGCUAGUUAUGCCUAUGGGUUUAUCGGAAGCACCAUGUACUUUCAUGUGUGUUAUGCAUUAUGUGCUUCGACCUUACAUUGGUGUGUUUGUUGUGGUCUACUUUGACGAUACUCUUGUGUUUAGUAAAUCCCUAAAAGAGCACUUAGAUCAUCUUAGGGCCGUUUUGCAAACUCUUAGAAAAGAGCGCCUUUAAGCCAAUAUGGAAAAGUGCACUUUUGGUGUUGACAAGAUUGUUUUCUUGGGCUUUGUUGUCUCUUCCAAAGUUGAAGCAAUUAAAACUUGGCCACAACCUACUAAUUUGUAACAAGUGCGUAGUUUCCUUGGUAUAGCGGGUUUUUAUCGUCGUUUUGUGAAAGACUUUAGCACUAUUGCCGCACGGUUGCCAACUUUGAGUAAGAAGAACGCACCCUUUGUUUGGGCUCCAUCUCAAUCUACCGCAUUUGAUGAGCUCAAAUCUUUGCUUUCACAUGCCCCAAUUCUUGCAUUGCCUAAUUUCAACAAAACUUUGGAGGUUAAUUGUGAUGCUAGCGGUAAUGUAAUUGGUGGAGUUUUGAUGCAAGAAAAGCGACCCAUUGCAUACUUUAGUGAAAAACUUUACGGUGCUCAACUUAACUAUCCCAUAUAUGACAAAUAAUUGUAUGAUUUAGUGCGAGUAUUGCAUGUUUGGGAGCAUUAUCUCCGCCCACAUGAAUUUGUCAUACACACCGAUCAUGAGACACUGAAGUACCUUAAAGGUCAAACCAACUUGAAUAAACGGGAUGCUAAAUGGAGUGAAUUUAUUAAAUCUUUUCCUUAUGUGAUCAAGUACAUUAAGGGUAAAAAAAUGUUGUCGCGGAUGCUCUUUCAUGCAAAUUCAUGUUAGUUAGUAAACUUGAGUUGAAUGCUAUUGGCUUUGAGCAUGUUAAAGAUCUUUAGGCACUUGAUCCUACGUUUGCGAUUCCUUAUGCCAAAUGUCUUGCUAACACUUGUUGAGAGAACUAUUAUCUCAAGAAUGGCUACCUUAUGCUCACUAACAAGCUUUGUAUACCCGAGUCUUCGCUUCGUUUGCUACUUUUGCAAGAGGCCCAUGACGGAGGACUUAUGGACAUUUCGAGCGCGACAAGACCUUUGCCACACUCUCCUUCAAGUAAUUUUGGCCAAAAAUGUUCCGCGAUGUGGCACGCUUCACCAAGAAAUGCUCUACAUGCCGCAAAGCUAAGUCACUAUCUCAAUCUCAUGGUUUACAUAUGCCACUACCAAUUCCGUAUCAACCAUGGGAAGAUAUUAGUAUGGAUUUUAUGUUUGGUUUUCCUAGGACUCAAAAUGAAAAGGAUUCCAUAUUUGUUGUUGUGGACCGAUUCUCAAAAAUGACCCAUUUCAUCCCAUGCAAUAAGAUAAACGAUGCUUCACAUGUUGCAAACCUCUUUUGUAGGGAAAUCUUGAGGUCACAUGGAGUGCCAAGGAUCAUUGUGUCGGACCGCGACGUCAAGUUCCUAAGCUACUUUUGGAAGACAAUAUGCGCCAAGAUCGGCAUCAAGCUACUAUUCUUGACGGCCUAUCAUCCCUAAACCGAUGGCCAAACGGAAGUCAACAACCAGACGCUAUCUACUCUUCUAUGUGUGUUGAUAAAGAAGAAUGCCAAGGAGUGGGAGGAAUGCUUACCCAUCACCGAAUACGCCUACAAUCGAGCUCGACACUCUACUACCGGCAAGUCCCCCUUAGAGGUUGUGUACGGCUUCAACCCAUUGUCCCCAUUGGACAUUCUACCUCUUCCACUCCAAGAAUGUGCAAACAUUGAUGCAUGUGCAAGGGCAAGCUUUCCCAAGAAGAUACAUGAAGAUACAUGGACAACGAUCGAGCGUCAAGUACAUCGCAUCGCCACCAAGCUCAACACCAACAAGACACAAAUGGUGUUCCAAUCGGGAGAUCUCGCAUGACUUCAUCUUCGCAAGAACCGCUUCCCCAACGAGCACAAGUCCAAGCUACUACCACCAGCUAAUGGACCCUUUAAGGUGCUAGCACGCUACAACGAGAACGCUGAUACGUCUCCAACAUAUCCAUAAUUUUUGAUUGUUCCAUGCUAUAUUAUAUUCUGUUUUGGACAUUAUUGGGCUUUAUUAUACACUUUUAUAUUAUUUUUGGGACUAACCUAUUAACCGGAGGCGCAGCCCAGAAUUGCUAUUUUUGCCUAUUUCAGAGUUUCGCAGAAAAAUAAUAUUAAACGGAGUCCAAACGGAAUGAAACUUUCGGGAACGUGAUUUUCGGAACAAACGUGAUCCAGAGGACUUGGACCCUACGUCAAGAAAGCAACCAGGAAGGCACGAGGUAGGGGGUGCACCUACCCCCUAGGCGCGCCCUCCACCCUCGUGGGGCCCAUGUUGCUCCACUGACGUACUUCUUCCUCCUAUAUAUACCUACAUACCCCCAAAUUACCAGAUACGGAGCCAAAACCCUAAUUCCAUCGCCGCAACCUUUUGUACCCGUGAGAUCCCAUCUUGGGGCCUUUUCCGGAGCUCCGCCAGAGGGGGCAUCGAUCACGGAGGGCUUCUACAUCAACAACAUAGCCUCUCCAAUGAUGUGUGAGUAGUUUAUUUCAGACCUUCGGGUCCAUAGUUAUUAUCUAGAUGGCUUCUUCUCUCUUUUUGGAUCUCAAUACAAUGUUCUCCCCCUCUCUUGUGGAGAUCUAUUCGAUGUAAUCUUCUUUUGCGGUGUGUUUGCCGAGACCGAUGAAUUGCGGGUUUAUGAUCAAGUUUAUCUAUAAACAAUAUUUGAAUCAUCUCUGAAUUCUUUUAUGUAUGAUUGGUUAUCUUUGCAAGUCUCUUGGAAUUAUCAGUUUGGUUUGGCCUACUAGAUUGAUCUUUCUUGCAAUGGGAGAAGUUCUUAGCUUUGGGUUCAAUCUUGCGGUGUCCUUUCCCAGUUUCAGUAGGGGCAGCAAGGCAUGUAUUGUACUGUUGCCAUCGAGGAUAACAAGAUGGGGUUUAUAUCAUAUUUCAUGAGUUUAUCCCUCUACAUCAUGUCAUAUUGCUUAAAGCGUUACUUUGUUCUUUUGAACUUAAUACUCUAGAUGCAUGCUGGAUAGUGGUCGAUGUGUGGAGUAAUAGUAGUAGAUGCAGGCAGGAGUCGGUCUAUUUGUCUCGGGCAUGAUGCCUAUAUACAUGAUCAUACCUAGAUAUUCUCAUAACUAUGCUCAAUUCUGUCAAUUGCUCAACAGUAAUUUGUUUACCCACCAUAAUACUUAUGCUCUCGAGAGAAGCCACUAGUGAAACCUAUGGCCCCGGGGUCUAUUCUCGAUCAUAUUAAUCUUCCAUCAACAAGCUAUUUCUUUUCCGUUUUUAUUUUGCUUUAUUUACUUUCCAUCUUUAUCAUAAAAAAUACCAAACAUAUUAUCUUAUCAUAUCUAUCAGAUCUCACUUUCGUAAGUGACUGUGAAGUGAUUGACAACCCCUUUUAUUGCGUUGGUUGCGAGGAUUUUAUUUGUUUGUGUAGGUGCGAGGGACUCGCGCGUGGCCUCCUGCUGGAUUAAUACCUUGGUUCUCAAAAGCUGAGGGAAAUACUUACGCUACUUUGCUGCAUCACCCUUUCCUCUUCAAGGGAAAACCAAUGCAGUGCUCAAGAGGUAGCAAGAAGGAUUUCUGGCGCCGUUGCCGGGGAGUCUACGCAAAAGUCAACAUACUAAGUACCCAUCACAAACCCUUAUCUCCCGCAUUACAUUAUUUGCCAUUUGCCUCUCGUUUUCCUCUCCCCCACUUCACCCUUGCCGUUUUAUUUGCCCUCUCUCUCCGUCCUCCUUCUCUUUCCCUAUUUGCCUCUUUUUUGCCCGUUUCUUGCUUGCUUGUCAUUAUGGCUAGUCCCCUAUCUUCUCCGUUGUCUCCUGAAAAUGAAGUUCUUAAUUUUAAGCAAAGGGAAAGAUAAAAUCUAAAAGAUGAUUGGUAUAGAAUUUGCAAUGCUCAAAAUAGAUCUACCAGGAAGCAAUCCACUUCCAUUCUUCUUCGCAAUUUUGAUGUAGGCGCUACUCCUUGGCACAGAUAUAUCCUUGAUACCAUUACCGGAGGGUAUUUCUUGGGUAGCCAUACUUUUGAUUGUUAUAAUGCUAUGAUAGAUUUGUUUGGCUCACACCCUCUUUUGGUUAAUGGAACUAUGUUAACUUUGGAGCAUGUAAUGUAAAGACUUGAAAUUAUUGAAAAUAAAGUUGCUACCGUAGAGUUAAUUGAAAAUUUGGAUAAAAAGAUCCACAACCAAAUUACUCAAUAUGGAUCUAAAGUAGGAGUCACUUUGAAAAAUAUUAAGGAGAAGGAACCCAUAGUUAAUGAAAGAAUAAAUCAGGAUUCAACUAGAAUCGAUAAACUUGAGGGUAUCAUUACCAACUUGGGAACCGCUUUUUCUUCCGUAAAAAAUACUCCAAGUCCUCCAACUAAAAUUGCCAAGCUUAUGUAUGUUCCUAAAAAUAAGGGUGAAUCCUCUAGCAAGGAAACUGCGGAUCUCAAAUCUAUAAGUAUUCAUCCCAAUCUUUUUGCUAUCAUUAAGGAACCAUUUGCUACGAAUGAUUUUUUCGAUUUUGAGACUAGAAGUUUGAUAAUUAAUAAAAAGAAAGAAACUCCUAAGGAUGAUAGAUGUCUCAUUAAAGAAUUGCCAACUAAAGCUGGCAAUACCUAGAUCUAUCUUCGCUUUUAUGCCUAGCUAGGGGCGUUAAACGAUAGCGCUUGUUGGGAGGCAACCCAAUUUUAUUUUUAUUCCUUGCUUUUUGCUCCUGUUUAGUAAUAAAUAAUUUAUCUAGCCUCUUUUUUGGUUGUGUUUUUUGUGUUUAAUUAGUGUUUGUGCCAAGUAGAACCGUUGGGAAGACUUGGGGAAAGUCUUUUUAAUCUUGCUGUAAAAAACAGAAACUUUAGCGCUCACGGGAAUUGCUGCCAUUUUUAUUUGGAAAGUGAUAUUUAGUUAAUUAUUUUUGAAUAUGAUUAAUAGAUAAAUUACUCACGUCCAGCAAUUUAUUUUAGAAUUUUUAGGGUUCCAGAAGUUUGCUUUAGAUACAGAUUACUACAGACUGUUCUGUUUUUGACAUAUUCUGUUUUUCGUGUGUUGUUUGCCUAUUUUGAUGAAUCUAUGGCUAGUAAAAUAGUUUAUAAACCAUAGAGAAGUUGGAAUACAGUAUGUUUAACACAAAUAUAAAUAAAUAAUGAGUUCAUUAUAGUACAUUGAAGUGGUGUUUUGUUUUCUUUCGCUAACGGAGCUCACGAGAUUUUCUACUUUGAGUUUUGUGUUGUGAAGUUCUCGAGUUUUGGGUAAAAUAUUUGAUGGAUUAUGAAACAAGGAGUGUCAAGAGCCUAAUCUUGGGGAUGCCCAUGGCACCCCAAUAUAAUCUAAGGACACCUAAAAGCCAAAGCUUGGGUAUGCCCCGGAAGGCAUCCCCUCUUUCGUCUACUUUCAUCGGUAACUUUACUUGGAGCUAUAUUUUUAUUCACCACAUGAUAUGUGUUUUGCUUGGAGUGUCUUGUAUUAUUUGAAUAUUUAUUUGUUAGUUUGCUAUAAUAAUCUUUGCUAUACACACCUUUUGAUAGAAACACACAUGAUUUGAAAAUUAUUAAAAUACUCUAUGUGCUUCACUUAUAUCUUUUGAGUUAUAUAGUUUCUGCUCUAGUACUUCACUUAUAUAUUUUAGAGCACGGUGGUGGAUUUGUUUUAUAGAAAAUAUUAUUCUCUCAUUCUUCACUUAUAUUAUUUUGAGAGUCUUAAACAGCAUGGUAAUUUACUUAAACUAGGAAAUUAAUCCUAAUAUGCUAGGCAUUCAAGACUAGUAAAAAAUAUUUAUGAGUGUGCUGAAUACUAAGAGAAGUUUAAUACUCGAUAAUUGUUUUGAGAUAUGGAGAUGGUGAUAUUAGAGUCAUGCUAGUUGAGUAGUUGUGAAUUUUAGAAAUACUUGUGUUGAAGUUUGUGAUUCCCGUAGCAUGCACGUAUGGUGAACUGUUAUGUGAUGAAGUCGGAGCAUGAUUUAUUUAUUGAUUGUCUUCCUUAUGAGUGGCGGUCGGGGAUGAGCGAUGGUCUUUUCUUACCAAUCUAUCCCCCUAGGAGCAUGCGCGUAAUACUUUGCUUUGAUAACUAAUAGAUUUUUGCUAUAAGUAUGUGAGUUCUUUAUGACUAAUGUUGAGUCCAUGGAUCAUAUGCACUCUCACCCUUCCACCAUUACUAGCCUCCCUAAUACCGCGCACUUUUCGCCGGUAUCAUACACCCACCAUAUACCUUCCACAAAACAGCCACCAUACCUACCUAUCAUGGCAUUUCCAUAGCCAUUGUGAGAUAUAUUGCCAUGCAACUUACCACCAUUCCGUUUAUUAUGACACGCUCCAUCAUCGUCAUAUUGCUUUGCAUGAUCAUGUAGUUGACAUUGUAUUUGUGGCAAAGCCACCGUUCAUAAUUCUUUCAUAUAUGUCACUCUUGAUUCAUUGCACAUCCCGGUACACCGCCGGAGGCAUUCACAUAGAGUCCUAUUUUGUUCUAAGUAUCGAGUUGUAAGUAAAUAAAAGUGUGAUGAUCAUCAUUUUUAGAGCAUUGUCCCAAGUGAGGAAAGGAUGAUGGAAACUACGAUUCCCCGACAAGUAGGGAUGAGACUCCGGACUAAAUAAAAAAAGAGGCCAUAAAAGAAGAGAAAAGGCCCAAAUAAAAAAUGAGAGAAAAAGAGAGAAAAAUAGAGAAGGGACAAUGCUACUAUCCUUUUACCACACUUGUGCUUCAAAGUAGCACCAUGAUCUUCAUGAUAGAGAGUCUCCUAUGAUAUCACUUUCAUAUACUAGUGGGAAUUUUUCAUUAUAGAACUUGGCUUGUAUAUUCCAAUGAUGGGCUUCCUCAAAAUGCCCUAGGUCUUCGUGAGCAAGCGAGUUGGAUGCACACCCACUUAGUUCCUUUUGUUGAGCUUUCAUAUAUUUAUAGCUCUAGUGCAUCCGUUGCAUGGCAAUCCCUACUCACUCACAUUAAUAUCUAUUAAUGGGCAUCUCCAUAGCCCGUUGAUACGCCUAGUUGAUGUGAGACUAUCUUCUCCCUUUUUGUCUUCUCCACAACCACCAUUCUAUUCCACAUAUAGUGAUAUGCCCAUGGCUCAUGCUCAUGUAUUGCGUGAAGAUUGAAAAAGUUUGAGAACACCAAAAGUAUGUAACAAUUGCUUGGCUUGUCAUCGGGGUUGUGCAUGAUUUAAAUACUUUGUCUGGUGAAAAUAGAGCAUAGACAGACUAUAUGAUUUUGUAGGGAUAACUUUCUUCGGCCAUGUUAUUUUGAGAAGACACAAUUGCUUAGUUAGUAUGCUUGAAGUAUUAUUAUUUUUAUGUCAAUAGUAAACUUUUGUCUUGAAUCUUUCGGAUCUGAAUAUUCAUACCAAAAUUAAGAAAAUUACACUGAAAUUAUGCCAAGUAGCAUUCCACAUCAAAAAUUCUGUUUUUAUCAUUUACCUAUUGGAGGACGAGCAGGAAUUAAGCUUGGAGAUGCUUGAUACGUCUCCAACGUAUCUAUAAUUUUUUAUUGUUCCAUGCUAUAUUAUAUUCUGUUUUGGACAUUAUUGGGCUUUAUUAUACACUUUGAUAUUAUUUUUGGGACUAACCUAUUAACCGGAGGCCCAACCCAUAAUUGUUGUUUUUGACUAUUUCAGAGUUUUGGAGAAAAAGAAUAUCAAACGGAGUGCAAACGGAAUGAAACCUUCAGGAAUGUGAUUUUUGGAACGAACGUGAUCCAAAGGACUUGGACCCUAUGUCAACAAAGCAACCAGGAAGGCACAAGGUAGGGGGGCGCGCCUACCCCCCAGGCGCGCCCUCCACCCUCGUGGGGCCCACAUUGAUCUACCAAUGUACUUCUUCCUCCUAUAUAUACCUACGUACCCCCAAAUUACCAGAUACGGAGCCAAAACCCUAAUUCCACCGCCGCAACCUUCUGUACCCAUGAGAUCCCAUCUUGGGGCCUUUUCCGGAGCUCCGCCGGAGGGGGCAUCGAUCACAGAGGGCUUCUACAUCAACAUCAUAGCCUCUCCGAUGAUGUGUGAGUAGUUUAUUUCGGACCUUCGGGUACAUAGUUAUUAGCUAGAUGGCUUCUCCUGUCUUUUUGGAUCUCAAUACAAUGUUCUCCCCCUCUCUUGUGGAGAUCUAUUCGAUGUAAUCUUCUUUUGUGGUGUGUUUGUUGAGACCGAUGAAUUGUGGGUUUAUGAUCAAGUUUAUCUAUGAAUAAUAUUUGAAUCUUCUCUGAAUUCUUUUAUGUAUGAUUGGUUAUCCUUGCAAGUCUCUUCAAAUUAUCAGUUUGGUUUGGCCUACUAGAUUGAUCUUUCUUGCAAUGGGAGAAGUGCUUAGCUUUGGUUUCAAUCUUGCGGUGUCCUUUCCCAGUGACAGUAGGGGCAGCAAGGCACGUAUUGUAUUGUUGCCAUCGAGGAUAACAAGAUGGGGUUUAUAUCAUAUUGCAUGAGUUUAUCCUUGUACAUCAUGUCAUCUUGCUUAAAGCGUUACUCUGUUCUUUUGAACUUAAUACUCUAGAUGCAUCCUGGAUAGCGGUCGAUGUGUGGAGUAAUAGUAGUAGAUGCAGGCAGGAGUGGGUCUACUUGUCUCGGACGUGAUGCCUAUAUACAUGAUCAUACCUAGAUAUUCUCAUAACUAUGUUCAAUUCUGUCAAUUGCUCAAUAGUAAUUUGUUUACCCACCGUAAUACUUAUGCUCUCGAGAGAAGCCACUAGUGAAACCUAUGGCCCCCGGGUCUAUUUUCCAUCAUAUUAAUCUUCCAUCAACAAGCUAUUUCUUUGCCGUUUUUAUUUUGCUUUAUGUACUUUGCAUCUUUAUCAUAAAAAUACCAAAAAUAUUAUCUUAUCAUAUCUAUCAGAUCUCACUUUCGUAAGUGACCGUGAAGGGAUUGACAACCCCUUUAUUGCGUUGGUUGCGAGGAUUUUAUUUUUUUGUGUAGGUGCAAGGGACUCACGCGUGGCCUCCUACUGGAUUGAUACCUUGGUUCUCGAAAACUGAGGGAAAUACUUACACUACUUUGCUGCAUCACCCUUUACUCUUCAAGGGAAAACCAAAGCAUUGCUCAAGAGGUAGCAAACGCCUACAAGAUCGACAUCCCACGACACAAGUACAACGUAAGCGACAUCUUCAAUGUCAAGGACUUGGCGAAGUACCAUGGUGAUGAAGAUCACGAUCCGCGGACGGAUCUCUACCAGGAGGGGGGGGGAUGAUGCGGAGCAUCCUUCCAUCAUUCCCAUGGACUCUACACCAACACACCAAGCACCACGUGGGCCUAUGACAAGAGCUCGAGCACGCGCAAUGAAAACUGAGGUGAACUCCUUCCUACUUGACAUGCAUAUGUACACGAAUGGGACUUUGUUGCUACCUCACCAAAAUGCACUAUGUAUCAUUAGGUACGAAGAGGAACAUUCCCAAGCAGCUAAGGAGCAUCACCAAGGAGUAGGAGAAGCAACCCAAGGACUUGAGGAAGAAGAAGGAAGCACAAAGGAGCAGGACAGAAGUCCUAGGCGACCCCGUGUGCACGGCCCCCCGAGACCCCGUGCCCACGGGCUACACAGUGAGCUACGGUUGUAGCACCCCGUGCGCUUGGGCGUGUACCGUGUGCACGGGACCCCCAUGCGCACGGGCCCAACUUACCCCGUGCGCUCGAGCCCUACAGGAUGGCCGACUAAGUUCGGGUUUUGGGCCUCCACUUCAUCCUCCUUGCCCCAAGCCUAUAUAUUCCAUACCUAGGGUUAUGUUUAGGGUUAGCAAAGACAUAUGUGAGAUAUUUGAGAGAUUUGCUCCUUCUACCACUCCAUUGGAGAUCAAGGCCUCUUAGGAGAGGAUCCACUUGUGGAUUUCAAGACCUCCUCUUGGAGAAGACUAUCAUCAUCAAGACCUCAUCUCUUAGGAGUGGGAAGAACUUUACCUAGUGCGUGUUUCCUUUGAUUGUUCAUGUACUCUCGUGGAUCUAUGUGUUUGCUAUUCUAAUGGAUGUGUGAUUGGGUUUUGUUGGAGUGAAUUCCUCUUUGUGUUCUCGGUAUUCAUCCCUCUUUCCCCUCCAAGUCUGAAAAUAUCCAUCUUAGGGUUUCACCCUACAACAAUACGUUUCCUCCUAGUGACGCACGUUGCCGGAAGGCCUAGAAUAAAUCUCGUAAAAUGCGAGCACCAACGUAAGUCUAAAACUUGAACUCUGUUGGGUUAGUUAUAUCACUGUCCUCCUAACCAUCCAACUACAUGUUGGUUCGCCAUAAAUCCUCUUUUUAUCUAUAUGAAAUGACAGUGAUGUCGUCUAACAAAAGAUGCUAGCUCAAGUGAAGUGCAUGAACAUGCUCUCAAAAUUAAUGGCACAUUUAUAUAUUUAUAUCAAUGGCUCUUUACCUUUAUUUCUACAAGUCUUAAAUUAUCACAAAUAAUAAGUACAAUACGUGUGGCACAAUGCACUCCAGCCCUGACCUUUUUUACAACUAAAGUUGCCAUCUGAAAAAAAACUUACCAUCCGAAAAAAAGUUGUCAUGCUUGACUAUUAAAAUUGUCAUACUUGCAUCACUAAGUUUGCCAUGAAAAACGUUCGGAGUUGCCAUGUGUUUGUACCACACAUGUGACACUUAUCAUUGUCCUAAAUUAUUUGUCUGUUAAUUUAUAAUACAUACUGUAAAAUUUCCGGACAAUUCAAAUCAAAAGGAAGGUAAAACGAAGAAAGUGUCAACAAAGAAUUUUGUGAACAUUCAUGGGGGAUCAAUAUCAUGAGUUGUCCAGGAAGAAACAAUAAUAACAGAAGCUAAAAUAUAAACCGACACCCUGGGUUUAGAUUACUAGAUACACACACAAACACAUUUGUUGCCUCGAUUGUUUCCUCUCCACCGAUCAACCCACGUACGCAUGCACACAAGAUGAGUAUCUUCACUUCUGCUCUGCUCUAGUUAGACUCGAGCUGCGCGUACCACACACCCUGGAUCUUGACAUCCUUGGGCGCCUUGGCGCCGAGGUCGGUGUCUGACGGCUGCACGCUCUCGAAGACACCGAUCACCUCGCCGGUCUCCGGCUUGCUCUUGGUCACGCUGAGCGUGAUGUUGCCCGUGGACGAGGACGCGUUCUUCACGUUCUCCUUAGCCAACUCCUCCUCGUCUCCUCUGCCUCCGGCGGGUAGCGCCACGGCGUUGUCGUAGCCAGUAGAGCCACCACGGCCCUUUGGGUCGAGGAAAGACGAACCCCUGUAGCUGGGCACGAGGAAGGGCCCGCUGAAGCUCUCGGGCUUGCCGGUAGCGACGAGCUGCUUGACGGUGAAGAGGAAGGGCACUCGCUCGCCUCCGGGGAGCUGCACGGUGACGGCCGCGUAGUCGAUGCCGUCCUUCUCCUCGAACUUGAGGGUGCCGUCGGCGCCGACCUCGAGCGGGCCUUCCAUCUCGUCAAGGGUGUAGGUGAGACGGGUCAUGAGCUUGGUUUUCUGGAAGGCCGGCGGCUCGUUCUUCUGGAUGCCCUCGGCCUUGACGGUGAAGGAGGUGGGCUCCAGGCAGAACUUCUUCAUCUCGUACUUGCCGGCCUUGAAGGGGAAGGAGUCGACGCCGCCGUCGAUGGUCGGGCACUGGUUCGCGGUGCCGGUACCCUUCACCUCCAUGUAGGUCUUGCUCUGGAUCUCGUCGAAGGUCAGCCUCUU
rnacentral:lncRNA from 1 species